rnacentral:lncRNA from 1 species
AAAGAGUAAAACAUUUCGAGCAUAAGACAUGGGUUUGCAUUUCUGAUGAUUCUGGUGAUGGUCUUGACGUCAAACUGUGGGUCAAAAAGAUUUUAAAAUCUAUGGGAGUUCAGGGUGUGGAGAGUAUGACCUUGGAUGGUUUGAAAGACAAGCUUCACGAAAAAAUAAGUCAAAAGAAGUACUUGUUAGUACUUGAUGAUGUUUGGAACGAAAAUCCUAGAAAAUGGUAUGAAGUGAAAAAAUUGUUGAUGGUUGGUGCUAAAGGUAGUAAAAUUAUAGUAACCACCCGAAAACUUAAUGUUGCAUCCAUUAUGGAAGAUAAGUCUCCCGUUAGUUUGAAAGGUCUAGGAGAAAAGGAGUCUUGGGAUUUAUUUUCAAAAUUUGCAUUUAGAGAACAGGAGAUUUUGAAGCCAGAAAUUGUAGAAAUUGGAGAAGAAAUUGCAAAAAUGUGCAAGGGAGUUCCUCUCGUUAUCAAGUCUUUAGCAAUGAUAUUGCAGUCUAAAAGAGAACUGGGGCAGUGGUUGUCUAUUAGAAACAAUAAAAAUUUGCUGUCACUUGGAGAUGAAAAUGAGAAUGUUCUAGGGGUGCUGAAAUUAAGUUAUGAUAAUUUGUCAACUCAUUUGAGACAAUGUUUUACAUAUUGUGCUUUAUUUCCAAAAGACUAUGAGAUUGAGAAAAAGUUGGUGGUACAACUAUGGAUAGCACAAGGUUAUAUUCAAUCUUCAAAUGAUAAUAAUGAGCAAUUAGAGGAUAUAGGGGAUCAAUAUUUUGAGGAAUUAUUGUCAAGGUCAUUGUUGGAGAAGGCGGGAAGCAAUCAUCUUACUAAUACAUUAAGGUAUAAAAUGCAUGACCUUAUACAUGAUCUUGCACAAUCAAUUAUAGGAUCUGAGGUCCUCAUUUUAAGAAAUGAUGUAAAAAACAUUUCAAAAGAAGUUCGUCAUGUAUCAUCGUUUGAAAAGGUGAAUCCUAUAAUAGAGGCUCUAAAGGAAAAACCUAUAAGGACCUUUUUAUACCAAUAUAGAUAUAAUUUUGAAUAUGAUAGUAAAGUUGUGAAUUCAUUUAUUUCAAGUUUUAUGUGUUUACGUGUGUUGAGCUUAAAUGGCUUCCUAUCAAAGAAGGUGCCAAACUGUUUAGGUAAAUUGAGUCAUUUAAGGUAUCUUGAUCUUUCCUACAAUACUUUUGAGGUACUUCCGAAUGCUAUUACAAGGUUAAAGAAUUUGCAAACACUGAAACUCAAAGUGUGUCCGAAUUUGAAAAAACUUCCAAAAAAUAUAAGGCAACUUAUCAAUCUUAGACACUUGGAGAAUGAGAGAUGGAGCGACUUGACUCAUAUGCCACGUGGAAUAGGAAAGUUGACUUUACUUCAAAGUCUACCAUUGUUUGUUGUUGGGAAUGAGACAGGGAGGUUAAGGAAUCACAAAAUUGGUAGCUUGAUUGAGUUGGAAAGCCUGAACCAUCUAAGAGGAGGGUUAUGCAUAAGUAAUCUUCAAAACGUGAGGGAUGUUGAACUGGUAUCCAGGGGAGAAAUUUUGAAAGGAAAACAAUAUCUUCAGUCCUUGAGAUUGGAAUGGAAUCGGUCGGGCCAAGAUGGGGGGGAUGAGGGUGAUAAGUCAGUGAUGGAAGGCCUUCAACCACACCCACAAUUAAAGGAUAUCUUUAUAGAAGGUUAUGGAGGUACGGAGUUUCCAAGUUGGAUGAUGAAUGAUAGGUUGGGUUCCCUGCUUCCCGACUUAAUUAAAAUUGAAAUUUCGGGAUGUUCAAGAUGCAAAAUUCUGCCACCCUUUUCUCAACUCCCUUCUCUCAAGUCUUUGAAGCUGGAUGAUAUGAAAGAAGUGGUGGAGAUAAAGGAGGGUUCAUUGGCAACGCCACUUUUCCCAUCUCUUGAAUCGCUCGAACUCUCUCACAUGCCAAAGUUGAAGGAAUUGUGGAGGAUGGACUUACUAGCAGAGGAAGGUCCUUCAUUUGCUCAUCUUUCAAAGUUGCAUAUUCAUAAAUGCUCUGGUUUGGCAUCACUGCAUUCUUCUCCUUCUCUUUCUCAAUUAGAGAUCAGAAAUUGCCAUAACUUGGCAUCCUUGGAACUGCCGCCGUCCCAUUGUCUUUCUAAAUUAAAGAUCGUAAAAUGCCCUAACUUGGCAUCCUUCAAUGUGGCUUCAUUACCUCGUCUUGAGGAAUUAAGCCUGCGUGGAGUCAGAGCAGAGGUACUGAGGCAGUUAAUGUUUGUCUCUGCUUCUUCUUCAUUGAAGUCUUUGCAUAUACGGAAGAUUGAUGGUAUGAUAUCUAUCCCAGAGGAGCCGCUUCAAUGUGUUUCCACUCUCGAAACUCUCUACAUUGUUGAGUGCUCUGGUUUGGCAACAUUACUACACUGGAUGGGCAGCCUUUCCUCGCUUACGAAACUUAUUAUUUAUUACUGCUCUGAAUUGACAUCACUGCCAGAAGAGAUCUAUUCCCUUAAAAAACUGCAGACAUUUUAUUUCUGUGAUUAUCCACACCUAGAGGAAAGAUACAAGAAGGAAACAGGCGAAGACCGGGCCAAGAUUGCUCAUAUCCCACAUGUUCGUUUCAACAGUGAUUCCUAUAUGGAAUUGGAGGUAGGUCCGAAAUCCCUAACCUUUCUUCCCAUUUUUAUUAAUUUAGAAUCAGAAUGCUAUAUUUUCAUUUUGUCUCUGGUAGUUCUUUUAUGUUGGCACCUCAUGUGUUUGUUUAAAUGCUCACAUCAAUAACUUUUCGAAAUUUUUUUCCAGCUUGACUACAUUUUCUGAUGCUGUGCACUAAACUAAUCAUUUUACUUGGAGUUCUACGUUCUAAGAGUUUGAGGAAAUACUGAGGUCUGGUAUGAUAACUCUCAAUCUUAAACGUUGUUUUGUGUUUGGAAUAUUACUACACUUGAUAGAUACCCUCACCUCACUUACAGAGCUUGGAAUUCAUGGCUGCCCUGAAUUGACAUCACUGCCAGAAGAUAUGUUCCCUCAAAAACCUGCUGACACUUGACAAUCUGCAUCUGUUCACACUUAAGAGGAAAGAUGCCGAAAGGAAAGGUGAAGACUAACCCAAGCACAAAUUGAUAUCAUACAUCCAUGAAGAUUGAACUGAUAUAGAAUGCCUUUCAGGUCUGAAAUCCCUAACUUUUCUUCUCAUUUUCUGUUACUUCAUUUGUAUUAUCUUACAUUUAAAAUGCUCUGUUUUCAUUUGUUUUGGUGGUUCUUUGUAUUUGCACCUUGUUUGAUUAAAUGCUUACUUCAGUAAAUUAGAAUUUUACUUGAGUCUUUUACAUCCUAAGAGUUUGAGGAAAUACCGAGCUCUAAUAUAAAUAGUAUUGGUCACAAAGUCCACCUUUCCUAAGAAGCUUACCAUUGGCCUAAUGCCCAAAGGAAACAACUUUGGAUUGGCUUGAAGAUUUCACAUGGUCUAAACAUUUGUAUUUACUAGAUGCCUGAUACAAAAAGUAGUUUCAAUUUAGCUCUUUGAUAUAAAGAUUAAAUAAUUGGAAAAUGUAUAAAUUUUUAUAUUUUACUUCAAAUUCAUUUCACUUAUUUUAACUCUUUGAUAUAAAGAUUAAAUAAUGGGAAAAUGUAUAAAUUUCUAAUUAAUCUUAAUAAUAUUUUAUUUUCUUUGAUAUUUUUCAUAGAACAACCAAACAUGAGAAAAUAAUUUUCCCUAUCAUUUUUUUCUUAGUACUUUUUGGGAACCAAACAUAAACUAGAUGUUUUACUUUAGUAGCUUCAUCAAAUUAAAUAGACAACCUCACACCUCUUAUUGAGCUAAGGUGUUAUUUGAGUUAAUGUUUUGUCUUUACUUAUUCAUUGAAGCCUUUGUCUAUUGGAUGCACAGGUGAUAUGAUCCAAACUCAAAUUGAACACCGCUCUUGUUUUGUAACAUUACUACAUUGGAAAGGCAACUUCAGCUCACUUAUAGACCUUUCUAUUGGUGAUUGCACUAAAUUGACGUCACUUUGGAAAAGAUGUGUUCUAGAUGGAAAAUCUUUCAUUAUAUGCACCUACUUGCAAGAUACCAAAGGGAAAUAGGUGAAUACUUGCCCAAGAAUAUAGAGGGCCAUACUUGGUUAAGGUUUCGUCAAUACGGAGAACCAUGUCAGGUAUGAAAUCCUCCUUUCUCAUUUUCUGAUGACUUCAUUUUUAUUCAAUAACCAUUUGAUAUUAUUUCUGUUGAUUUUAUUUUGAUAUUAGAUUUUCUUGCUUGCUCAAUAAUUUCAUUGAAGUUCUUUGGAUAUCACAUUUUCUUUGAUGUUUUUCUUUUCUUUUUAGAAUAAUUCAAAAUAUCAUUUUUACCUGUUCACAAAAUUUGAUCACAGUUGAGUGAUUAAAAUUCAAGUUUAUUAUUAUUAUUAUUAUUAUUAUUAUUAUUAUUAUUAUUAUUAUUAUUAUUGUUAUUAGCUAUUGGACAUAUUCGUUUUCUAAUACAGACAUAAGACUGACAGGUAAUGUGCAUAGAAUUUGUAGAAGAGAAGAAAGAUUUGAUCCAAGAUAUUCCUAAAGACCAAAAACUUUCAAAGUCGUCUAAGAUCCCAUAGGUUGAAUUUGGAUUCAUCCAAUUUACAAUCCACUAAUUCUACUUAUGUCAUCUUUGUUAUGUUACAAUUUGCUUUUACUUGUUAUGCAGCCUACCUUAAUAAUUUGGGGAGACCAAGAUACGACGUUCCUAAUAGAACCAGCUUACAAAUUGAAAAGGUAAACUUGUAUCACUUGCCUACAUGCCUACAACAAUACAAACACUAGCUUAUGUCUUUCUCAAUAUUGAGAUUGUUACUGCAUGCAAGCAUUUUGGGUGAGGAGGCCCAACUUGUGAUCAUCAAUAACAUAGAGCAUACUUUUAUUAUAGAGAAGCCCAAGGAAAUAUUUAAGCACUUGAAAUCCUUUCUCAUUGAUUUGCUUCCACCUCCUAGGCAACACUUGGAACCACUCACACCAUGACAAGGUGAAAAGAAACUAAUGCAACAUUCUCAAUAUAUCAAAGGAAAGGUCAAAUUUUAGAUUUUUGUGUUUUUCCUAUCACUGUUUCUAUACUAUUACUAGUGCACCUUAUUUGUCAACAUGAUUAAAAUAGAAUUCCCUAGGAUAACUAGUGUCUCAGGUGAUCUUAAGGUUCAUAAAUUUUUGGUUUCCACAAGAUAGGUGCCAACUAAUUUUAUUUUUUUCUACAUCCAUGCAAUAUUCUAGUCAUCUAUUAACAAGGGAUAAAAAUUCUUGUAGAGAAUAGAAUAAAGAACUAGAUUAAAUGAAAAUAGGACAUUAGUAUUCUAUUUACUAGUAAGGGUAAAAAAUUCUUGAUGGCCAUCAAGCACAUUGUUCCUAAAAUAAUAGCAUCCAUGUCGUUGAGCAAAAGUUUAUUGUAAUUGCAUUUAACAUAUAAAGCAAAACUGAUUUUUUUAUUUUAUUUUAUAUUUACACCUUAUGCAUUUGAUAAAAUUCUUAAACAAGUAAGUUUGAAAAUUUUCUCUUCAAAUCAUUUGAUAAUUGAAGGCCAAACUAAUCAAAUUGAUUUAAAUUUUACAUUCAAAAGUUGAAUUUAUUAUUAUUAUUAUUAUUAUUAUUUUUUUUUUUUUUGCAAAAUUUACUUCACUUUAGAAGUUUGUGAUUAUUCUCUAGUCCAUCUUAAAAUGAGUGCCUCCAUUAUUCCAUUCCUCUAUCACUACAAAAAGUUUAGAUUGACCUAAAAUUUUCUCAUGACCUAGAAACUCAUAUCUACUAGAUGGUUAAAGCAAAAAAAGGCUUUUGCCUUAUGUUUUAAGUAAUCUCCCUAUUAUCUAUUUGUUGAGAGCAUCAUACAAGAUGUAAUUAUAUUUCUUAAUUUUUUUUUAUGUAAUAAGAACUAGAUUGAGAAAGAUGCAACUUGUAGAGAAAAAAAUUUCUUUACUACUUCCCUUGUAUUUGCUUUGUGUGUAUCAACUGUGCUUUUCAUUAUUUUAAAAAAUAUCACUAACAAAAAACUUAUUAUUGUUAUAUAUCAUAAUUUAGCAAUUUUUUUAUUAUUUAGAAAUCAUGCUUGUCAUUGUGUUAAUUAGUAGGUAGCCUAAUAACUAUAUUGUUCAAGUUAUUUUGUGUUGGCAUUCUUCAUGUUUCAAAAGCUUGUUAGACUAGCAAUUUUAUUGCAAAUAUAAUGUUCUCAAAUCAAUACAGAAAUGGAUGAUUGUGGGGAUUAGGCAUUGACUUCCUUGAGAAGUUCAAUUGAGGGUUUUUUAAACUAGGUCUCUACAUCAACAAAUGCUACAUUUUAUCACUCGAGACCUUAGAAUAAAUAUUGCAGAAAGCUUCAUUUGCUACAUAGUAAGGAUGAGGUUGGCAUAUAAAUCCUAAGGACUUAAAAGCUUGAGUUGUUGUCUCUUCCAAGGGGCCUUUAGAUUUAUUAAUGAGUUCCAAAUCAUUGUCUACCUUGAAUUUGAAUCACUGCUAGAAGGAUGUGCCGCUAAGCAUUCUCAUGUUCUUGAUAUGGAGUAGAAAUGGACUUCUAAUUCAUGAAGAACUGAUGGGCUCUUUGAUUAUGCCAUCUAUAAUGUACUUCAGGUUCAUGCUUCAACCUCUCUUCUUGCUUUUGAUAACUUCAUUUUAGUUUUACACUGCUUUCCUUCCCUCUUAUCUGUGUUUAUGUAUGUUUGUGCAUAUAAUGUGAACCUUUUCCACUGUUACUUUAAAGUUUUUUCAUUCUUGGGCUUGGGAAAUUACUAAAUUUGAUUUUAAUAUUUUCCUGUAGAUUUCACCUUGCUUAAAAAGCUUUUGAUUAUUCAUAUUUGCAAGAUGGCUAAGACAUCUGAUUGUGCUCAGAACUUCUGGUUUCUAUUAAAUAUAGGUAUGUUGUUUGCAAUUCUAACCCACUUACUCCUCUUGAAGACUACAUAAAUUGCUAGUGUUUUUACUUUAAUGGUUAUAAACAAUGUGUGCCCUUGUUACUUCUUGCUUGCAUUCUAUAUGUUGAAGAGCUUUAUUAGGCUAAUUAUUUUAUUGAAGAUAUAAUUGUUGUCAAGUCAAAGCAAAGCCGAAUGGUGAUGUGGUUUCAACUUCUUAGAAGUAACCAAAAAGUAAGGAACUCUCUCUAUGGUAGUACUUUGAUGUCACAUUGGGCUUUCAGAUUGCUGCCUUGAAUUGACAUAAAUAACAUAGCAUCUUUCCCAAUUGAGUCGUUUCAACAUGUUACUAUGCUUCAAACUCUCUCAAUUAUGUCUUGUUUAGGUUUGGCAACAUUAGAACACUGGAUAGGCAGCCUCAACUUACUCACACAACAUAAAAUUCAUCUUUGUUGUUAACUGACAUCACUGCCACAAGAUGAGUUCACUCAGUAUUUUACAGACAGCUAUAGUUUGGGACAAUUCUGGUUUGGCAACAUUAUUAGACUUGAUAGGUAACCUAUCUUCACUUACAAACACCUUCAAAUUUAUAGUUGUCCUAAACUAGCAUCACUACUAAAAGACAUGUGUGUCCUCAACACCCUAUAGGCACUCACAAUUGGAGAUUGUUAUGGUUUGGAAACAUUCAACAGACUUGAUAGGUAACCUUACACCACUUAUAGAGCUUCAAAUUCAUGGCUACCCUGAAUUGACAUCACUUUCAGACUAGAUGUUCACCCAAACCUCAAUUGACACUCACAAUUCAAGGCUUCUCUAUAUUGGCAACAUUACCAGACUUGAUAGGCAUCAUCACUUCACUUACAUACCCUGGAAUUAAUAGCUACCUCAAAUUCACAUCAUUGUCAGAAGAGAUUGGUUCACUCAUAUCCCAACAGAGAUUCAUGAUCUUUUAUUGUCAAUGUCUAUUAGAAAGACUUCGAAGGGAAAUAGGUGAAGAUUGGGCCAUUAAUCUUCAAUCCUAGAUAUUGAUAUUUUGGUGAAGAUUGGAUUAAUAUAGAGUUCGUUCAAGUUUGAAAUCCUAACCUUCUCAUUUGUUAUGGUUUUGUUUUUAUCAAUAUACCCUGUUUACAUUCUAUUUGGUAAUUAUGGUAUGUAUUAGCAUAUAGAUAAAAAAGGACUUAGAUGGUUAAUUUGAAAAGUUUGCAUCUUCAAUUAAUUAGUAAUUAAAGACCAAACUGAUCAUAUUACUUUAAGUCUUGCAUUAUAAGAGUUCGGGAAAAAUGUUAGGGUCGAUUGAACUAUUAUUUUGUAACAAAUUUCACCUUGCUCAGGAAUCUCAUGAUUAUCCCUUGGCACAAACAUUUCUCGGUGUCUGAGAAAUUCAUAUCUACUACAUGGCUCAAGAAUCUAGUAGCAUUCAAAAUUUCUGCUCUCUUUCAAAUUAGGUGUGUUGCUUGCAAUUCCGGUCCUUUUCCUAUUUCUAAAUGCUAUAUUUUUAUUUUACUAUCAAUGUGUUAAGAGCAUUAUGUUCUGUUUUCUAUAAUAUUGUUUUCUUACUUAUCAUAUAUAUUAAUUAUUUCACUACAAAUGUAUUUGUUGCCAAGUUAAAGCAAAAAUGGAAAAUGACGAUUUUUCAUAGAUCAAUGUCUUUCUCAAUUGCUGCCACACCUGACUUCUCUCUAAGUUGUUGAAAAUUUAGAAGUGUGGUAGCAUAAUGUCUCUGGCUCAAGUGCUUUAGCGCCUCAUUGUCCUUGAAGCUUUAGAAGUUGUCAAUACAAUUGGUGUUUCAACAUGUAACCAGUUUGGAAAUUCUAAGAAGUGUAAGUACUAUGGUUUUGCAACUUUGUUAGAUUGGAUAGGCAACUUCAAAUUAUUGAAUGCCCUGAAUUGAAAUCACUACUAGAAGGGACCCACAAGCACUUUAUAGAAACUCAUAAUCUACUAGUCGUACCACUUAUUAAGAAUGCCAAAAGGAAAAAGUGAAUAUUGGCCUAAGCAUGGUUGAUUAAUAAACUACUCAUGGUCUCCUUAAUUCAAGUGUGUCAUUUAUUAUAUGUUUCAUGUUAGUAAUCCUACAUUUCUCUUGUUUUUGUUGGCUUUAUUUUUUUGAAUUAUUUUACAAUCAAUAUUUUAUCGAUGUUCUUCCUUUUGUACAAUUCUAUUUCUUGAUUCUCAAAUGAAUUAAGACAUAUCAAGAAAAAAAUCACAUUGUUUGCUUUCCAUAUACUAUAUGCUUAUAUGUACAUGUGUUAAAAACUUUUGAUUUUUAAUUGAUUACUUUCUAUUUAAUUUGUUAAAAAUUGUUAGUCUAUUUGGAGAUGAUUUUUUUUUUCAUAUGUAAUAGGAUACCAACAAAUUGAGUGAGGAGCACAUCUUACUAAAUCGUUUAUCAAUUUAUUCACCUUCCUAAUCUCAAGCUUCUUCAUGUUUGAAUUAAAACACCUUGGAGUACACAAACAAAAAUGAUGGUAAUAAGUCUUUCUCAUCAUCUUUAUUUUCAUUAGAAGGCAAUUUGUAUCAUCCUCAUUCCCAAUCCUAAAAAUAGGUUUAGAAAUUAGACAUGUUUUCUUAAAUGAUCUUCUUGGUCCAUGCAUGCUUUCUAUAUAUUUAAAAAAAUUUUAAACUAAGUACUUAAUUGUAGAUAUGAUAGUUUUCAAGUUAAUGCACAAAUGGUGAUGGUGAGGAUGCUAAAUAUAGUCCAUGCUCAGCCUAUUUGUUGACAAACUACCGAGGGCUAGUGCUAAGGGAAACACUUAAUGCACUUGUAUCAUACUCUCUUUUCUUUGCCUUCUCUAGUCGUUAUCCAAGGUUCAUAUAUAAUAUGUCUUUAUCAUUAAACUUUUCAUUUUUAACCUUUUGUCUUUUUAUGGUCUAUUACAUGGCCAUCAAUUUCUAAGAAAGUGGUGUACACUAUUAUAAAUCUUAUCUCUUUGUUCUUAUAGACAAUAGAACAACAUGCUAAUUGCAUGAUAUACAAUUUGUAAUAGAUGUUCGGCUAUCAGGUAACCUUUAAGUACCUUGGAGCUAAAACAUUUGAUGUUAAUAAGGUUUGAUGAUUCUCACUUUGGUGCUUAGGUGCUUUGUUGGAUUUCAAUUCAGGUGAUUAAUUAAUCUUAUUAUGAUUAUUUGAUUGCUAUAAUAACUAAAUAAUCAUUCCUAUUUUAUCUUGGUAAUUGACUUCAAUGACUUUUUAACAAUUAUAUCAUGCAUGAAAUGUCCAACCUAUUAUUGUUAGUAUUUCAAUAACAUACCUCUAAUGCUACCACUAAUAUACUUCAUGUAUUCAUAUUUAUAAAAUGUUUCAUUAUUUUAUAUAAUUUAAUGUUUUCAAAUUUCUUUUUUGAAUGGGAGAAAUGACCAUUAAUCUUGACAACAACACAAGUAUCAUUGGUCUAAUAUUGCUUUCUUGAGUAAUUUGGCAAUUUAAUUAUGAAGUUUAGUUGUACAUUACUUGAGAUUCAUGCUUUAUGUAUAUGGUCUAUUGUCCAAACUUCAAUGACAUUUAGUAGACUUGUGAGUGGCGUUUGUCUAUGAGUUUCAACUCUUCAAAACUAUUAUUGAAGCCUAAGUUCAACUUCAGUAAGGAAAAAAAAUCAACAUUUUCUUCCAUUAUGUAAUUUUAUUCACUAUUGAUCUCCCGAAAUAUUGUUUUUAAAACAUGCCCUUAAAUGGAAUUCAUGGCUUCGCUAUUAUUUGCAGGAGAAAUUGUCAAGUUCUAUAUUUGUUUAGAAAGUUGGAAGAAGUAUUUAAUUUGACAUGGUUUGGACAUCUUGCUGCCAUCUUUUUAAAUUAGUUAUCAAUAAUUUUCCAAAGUUGACAUUUUUGUUUAUCUCAUACUCCUUUUAUAUUAGAAGGUAAUGCAUCGGUAUUGUGUAGACGAAUCAAGCCUUCUUUAAUUGAGGCGGGCCUUUUGCAAAAUAUUUCAAGUUUGUUUUCUUUCCAUUUGUUGCUUCAUAUCUAUUUUUUGUAAUCAACCAAGCAAGGGUUUCUUGUCAUGCCAUAAUGGUGACUUGUAAUAAUCAAUUAUUGAUUGUAAGGAUACUUGGCUUUAUCAAUUAUUAUAUUGAAAUCAAUUCAGUACUAUGGCUAAUGCCAAAAGGACAAUAUUUAGUUUCGAUUGACCAUAAUUCACUAUUCUAGAAACAAGUGCUCACAAAUUUUGCAUCUUUGAAGGAUGUGGGAAAGAUUGGCUUAACUGCAUCACCAACUUACAAGCUCCUUAUAGCAUCCAUAUAUAUAACCUUCAUUGUUAAGGUUUAUAAUUCCUAUCUCAUUUUUUUCAUCUCUUUAUUGUUUAUAAUUUUUGAAUUGAUUUGUUAAAAAAAAUUUAAACCUUAUUUGCAAUACUGAUUUGUUUUAUUCUUAUGUGCAAUAGAAUAAUAAGUUGAAUAAGAAGCAUACACUACUUAAUUGAUAUAACCGUUUAGUCAAUUCUCUUCUCAAUUUUUUUUUGUUUUUCUCCAUUUUUGUUCAAGGUAAUCAAAGUAUCAUUAUUUCUAUUUCUAAAGGUACUUGUACCUAGCUUGAAAAACUUUAAGAUAAGUUAAAGUGGAGAACCAUUCCCAAAACAAGUAAUAAGUACAGUUGGGUUAUUGAUAUCAUAUCCUCGAUUGACAUCUAUGCCAUUGUAUUUACAUCUAAAGGAUUUAUGAUGAAAAUAAAUAUCUUCUUCAUUUCCAUUUUCCUCACUUUUUUUUUCGUAAUUUAUGUGCAUAUCAUAAUCUUUUGCGAGCAUAUAUAUGCAUGUUGUAAUCGCAAUAAUCUAUUGCUAUCAUAAUUCAUAGCCUAAUAUAGUUGCUAGCAUAUAUAUGCAUGUCAUAAUCUAUUGAAUUUUUUAGCAUAAGGUCUUAGAGUAUUCACAUAUCUAUAGGUUCUAUAUAUUUAUACUUUUUAAAACAUCAAAUGAAGUAUAUCAGCCUUAUCCCGAAGGUGAAGUCUCUUUAAAUUGAGCUUCAACAUGUUAGCAGUUACCUAACUUAAUAAUCUAACAAUUUGGUAUUAUAUAUCAUUUUGCAACUCUUCCAUAAAGUAAUUGUGUUUCCUCUAUUCAUAUUUUCUGUCCUUAUUUUUUUUUAAAAAAAUUGAAUUAGUAAUUGUGUGUCAAAUCAUGCUUACAAUCAUUAAUAGGUACUUAUAUGAUAAAUUGAUAAAUUUAUUUUACAAUUUUUUCAACAUAUUUGAAAAACAAAAAAAAUAAAAAAAAUAAAUAAGCAUGUCUUUCUAGAUGUAAUCACUACCAAGCUCAUGUGAAAAGCUAUAGCAAUGAGGGUAUAAGCUUCAGUUUUGUUUUGGAGAUUCAUAUUGAGAGUUGUAGAUUGUGAAUGUAAUUGUGUGCAUAAUGAGGACACUAAUAGUAUAAGCUUUGGUGUCUAUUUUUUUUUUUUACUUGAAAUAUCUAUAGCAGAAUCUGAGGUUCAACUUCAUCACCAAUAACAUGGUCGAGGACAUAACUUCAAGAGACAGCAAACAGUUUCAUAUUAAUCUUUUGGGGUGCAGGAAUUUGACAUUCUACAACGUUGCAAUUAGUGCACCAAAAGACAGCCUUAACACAGAUGGAAUUCACAUUGGACGUUCCUCAGGGAUCGAUAUCACCGAUUCAGCCAUAGAAACCGGAGAUGAUUGUGUCUCAAUUAGUGAUGGCAGUGGGCAAAUUAAUAUCCAAAGAAUAACCUGUGGACUUGGCCAUGGCAUCUGUGUGGGAAGUCUAGGAAAGUACCCCGAUGAAGAAUCUAUGGUUGGCAUUAGUGUCAAGAACUGCACCUUCAUCAACACCCAGAAUGGCGUCAGAGUGAAGACAUGGCCUGCUUCUCUCAUCAAGACACUACCUCUGAAAUGCAUCUUGAAGAUAUUGUCAUGAAUAAUGUUGGCAAUCCCAUAAUCAUAGAUCAAAAGUAUUGCCCCCAUAACCAAUGCAACUUAAAGGUACUUCUAAAGGAAAUGAAAAUUUCCAUUUUUAUUGCUUAUUUUCCCUCUUUUUCCCUUCAUUUUUAUUGGUUUGGAACUUAACUAUCCGUUGUUUUCAGAGUCUAUCACGCAUUAAGCUCAGCAAUGUUAGCUUCAGAAACAUCCAGGGCACUACCUCAACUCAGGUUGCUGUCAAGCUUGUUUGUAGCCAAGGAGUACCAUGCCAAGACGUUGAGCUUGGUGACAACAACGGAAAUGAAGGCCUUGCCAUGUCACAAUGCAAGAACAUUAAGCCAAAUCUACUGGACAAGCAACUGCCAAGGACUUGUGCCUAAGAUGCUUAAUCUUCUUCCAAAGUCUGAACAAAUUGUACUGCUUCUAUUAUAUAGCUACCUCUUCAUGCUCACGCGUCUGCUAUUUUAUUGGUGAAUAAACUACAAUGAACAAACAAUGAUACGAUACUCGGCUAUUAUGGAAGGUAUGUGCAGUUUGAUCCCAUAAGAAAAAACAAAUGUCUAUUUAGUCUUUUGCUGCUAUAGUACAAAUUGAAGCUCCAAAGAAUAAUGUUAAUGUAAAUUAUUUAAUGUUAAUGCAGUUUGGAUGAGAAAAUGCAGUCAAGUGAAUAAAAAUUCCUUUGGAGUGUAUCAUUUGAAAUUUUAUCUUUGGAUUACUACAACCAAGAAAAAACUAUAGAUUGGUAUCUGGUGUGUUGGAAAUGCUUGAUGGUUGGUAAUCGAACUAAUGUACUAAUGACUUCGAGAAAAACUAAGAAUGAUAAAGACAAUAGUAAUAAAUGGCAAGAACUGAGAAAGUAUUGAAGUUGUAAUUGUCUCAAGGAGCGUAUUUUGGGAUUUGAAUUAUAUGUAAAGAAGAAAUGCUCUUGGAAACUGCAACAUGAUGGAUCUUGAAUGGUUUUCUGUCAUAUGUGUUUGUUGUUUGGAGAUGACCGAGUAAUAUUAGUUUUAUCAUGCCCCUUUAAGCUGCCAUGUGGAAGCUGUAGCGUUAGCAGAGAGUUGAUAAUGCUUUUUGGGUAGUUGGAAGCUUGAACACCAACAUAUUAGUGCAAGGACAUGAAGAUAUUAAUUCAUUCAUACGAUUUAUUGUUUGAGAGGAUAGAAAAAAAAAAUAUAAAACUAUUUAAGAUCCUAAAAAUAUCUUAUAUUUCUCCGUUUUUUGUAUUUACACUCUGAUCCAUGGACUUUUACCCCACAAAAUAUCUCAUAUUCUUUUUCAAAUUUCUACCUACAUAUAAACUUCUUAUGUCUAUAUUUAUUAUAUUACUUUUUUCUCCUCAUGACCUAAUUAAAAUAUGUAUAAAGAUAAUCCUAACAACUUUUCUUAUUUUAUAGGCAAACCUAUUUCUAUAAGGAAUUAAUUGUAAAACAUCCUAUAUAAGCUACCUUAACAUAGCUGAAUUAUGUUAUAAAUUUUAUUUUGAUACGAUAAAUAACAAAAAUCCAUUGAUAAAAAAUUUAUCAAAAUCCAAUAACUGUAUAGGAUAAACUACACUUAUUUUGGAUAAAUAAUAAAGUACAUUAUCCAAGUAUUAAAAGAUUGUCUUUGUUGUGUAUAAUUUGGAGAGCCUCAGAUAAUGUGCAAGUAGAUGAGACUUAGAGUGAUAUGUUUUCUCUUUCAAAUCAAUUUUAGAGGGACCAAAUCCAAAAUUUUAGUCUUUUUUUAGAAGUGUUUUAGAAAAUAGUUUGGAAAAACACUUCUUGAUAAUAGCGUUUGAAAAUUAUUCUCUAAUAUUUUAUAGCACAUAAAUUUGUUUGAGAGAAUAAAAUGCUCUUAACUUGUUUCCUAUGUUUUUAAAUAUAUUUUAAAAAUAAUUUUCAUAUGCAUUGCUUUAUUUUUAAUCAUUCUCUAUAUUUGUAUAAUAAUUUUUUAAAACAAUUCUAUAAAGAAGUAAAAAGAAACAAAAAUAACUAAAAAGAUGUUCUUUCGAAACAUUGUAUUUUCUGUUUAAAAGUUUUUUUUUUUUUUUUUUUUCUGUUUUCUAGUUGUCAAACUAUACUUUCUUGUUUUUUUUUUUUUUUUUUUUUUUUUUUAUUUUUUUUUUUUUUUUUAUUCUAGAUAAUAGAAAACUGUUUUCAUAACAUGGCCUCAACUUUUACUAUGAAAAUCGAAAUGGUGCUUAAACUUAAACUUCAAAUUGAUUUUAAUCAAAAUAUGUUUUUUUUUUCUCCUUUUUCCUAUCAAAUCAAAACUCAAAUUUCUUUCUUUUCUAUAAAUACAAAAUUUCAAUUUCUAUCGUUGGACUAAGAACUCCAAAUCAUUUUCAAUUGGCGGUGGAGUCUUUGAUUUAAGGACACAGAAUGCGCAUGAAAAAUCUCAUAGUUGUGUGUGUGCAUGUAUGAUAUAUAUAAAGAAUGUUGGAUGAGGAAAUUGUGGAUAUGGCCAAAUCUGAAUCUCUUAUAUUUUUGCAAUAGCAUGUGAUUUACAUAGAAACUCGAUGGUGGAAGAAGACUAUAAAUAAAGGUCUCCUCUCCUCAUUCUAUUUAUCCUAGAAUUGAAGGAAAAAGAAUGAUCUAACUCUUUGAGUGAAAAAGUGAGGUUAUCUUGAGAAUUAGAGGAUUAUUAUUCUCUUGGGUGUAAUUAGGAUAUGGAUUGUGAGGAGUGAGUGAUUAUAAACACUUGUGGUUAUUUUUCUCCCUAUAAUGAAGAUCUAUAGUAGCUCUGUGGGCGUAGCUUGUUUUGGGUGAACCACGUAAAUUUCAUGUUUUGUUUGUCUACUCUAUUUCGUUAUUAUUUUCACAUUUUUUUUAUUCAUUUCAUUACUCUAGUCUUUUGGGAAGUUUAUUUCCUAACAACUGGUAUCAAAGCGACAUGUCUUGUGGUGUUUUAGGAGCUUAGUGGUAGUUUGAGGAGGUUGGAAUUUAAGAGGACAAUUGUGACCUCUCUAGUUUUUCUUAGGAACUUUUAUUUUUGUCUAAGGAGACUAGGUUUUAAGUGGGAUUGUUGUGAUCCUUCUAGUCUUUCCUGAGAACUUUUUUACUAGUUUAAAGCUUUGGGUGGAAGUUUUUCUAUAAUUUUUUGCAAGUACAGAGGUACUGUAAAAAGUACAAUUUUUGCAGAAGUCCUAAAGAACCAGAUUUGAGUGGGAUUGAUGGCAACAAACGAAGGAAAGAGCAUCAUAAUUUAGAAGUUCAAUGGUGAAGAUUUUAGCUUCUAGAAAAUGCAAAUUGAAGAUUAUCUAUAUUAGAAAGAUGUGCAUCUGCAUUUUUAAUGAAGAGUGGGCUCUACUCGAUAGGCAGGCCCUUGGAGUUAUCUGGUUGACGUUAUCUCAUAAUGUCGCUUUCAACAUAGCAAAGAAGAAGACUGUGAUGGGUCUUAUGGCGACUCUCUAUGACAUGUAUGAGAAGCCAUUCACUUCAAAUAAAGUGCACUUGAUGAGGUUGUUAUUCAAUUUGUGAAUGAUAGAAAGCGCGUCUAUAGCAACUCACAUCAAUGAAUUUAGUACAAUCACAACACAACUAAGUUUGGUGGAAAUCGAGUUUGACGAUGAAGUUCGAGCUUUAAUCUUUGUAUCCUCUCUACCGAAAAGUUGGAAUGCGAUAGUGACAACAAUGAGCAAUUCUUUUGCAAAGAAGAAGAUGGUAUUUAAGGAUAUUCAAGAUCUAAUUCUAAGCAAAGAAAUACACCAAAGAGAACUAAGAGAAACAUCAAGUUCUACCUUAAACAUUGAAUCUAGAGGUAGACAUAAUGACAGAAACUCAAAUCAAAGUAGAUUAAAAUCAAGACAGAGCAAGUCUAGAUCUAGGAAGGAAGAGAAUAGUUGUUGGAACUGCGGUAAGACUUAUCACUAGAAGAGAGAUUAUAGAGCACCGAAAAAGAACAAUGGCAGUGAAAAGAAUCCACGAACAUGGCCGAAGAUAUUGGCAAUGCUCUAAUCCUAACUGUCAAUAGUCUAGUUGAAUCCUAGAUUUUGGAUUCUGGGGCAUUGUAUCACUGCACCUCUUAUUACGAAAUCAUGGAGAACUACAUCAGUGGUGAUUUCAGGAAGGUUGACCUGGAUGAUGUUGAGACCUUGAAGAUUACGAGAAAAAAAGAUAUUCAAGUGAGGCUACCAAAUAUGUGGAAAUUUAAAGAUGUGAUAUGUAUUCCUAGUUUUAAAAAUAAAAAUAAAAAAUCUCUGUGGAUUAACUUGAUAAGAAGCGGAUGAAAGAUCACCAAGGGAGCUAUGGUCAUAGCUCAUGGAAAGAAGAACGGUCCUCUCUAUGUUACUUCUAGAAUGGAGAAUAUUGUUGAAGUUGUAAAAUCAAAUGAGAAGUAGAAAAUUUGGCACGAGAGACUCAGUCAUAUGAGCGAGAAAUGGAUGAAGGUUCUUGUUUCAAAGACAAAGCUGUCAAAUCUAAAAUCAAUGUGAAGAUUGUAUAUUCAAUAAGCAGAAAUUGGUUAAUUUCUCAAAGAUUGGCAAGCCAUCCAAAGUAGAGAAGUUAGAGCCGAUUCACAUAGACACGUAGGGGUCAUCACCAGUUUCAUCUAUUGGAGGCUCAUUGUACUACAUCACCUUCAUUGAUGACUCUACUAGGAAAGUAUGGGUUUAUUUUCUAAAAAAGAAGUUAGAAGUUUGUGAUGUUUUCAGGAAAUGGAAAGCCAUGGGAGAUGCGAAGAUCUACUAGGGGCCUAUAAGUAGAGGUCUCAUCUCCUCAUUUUAUUUGCCUCAUAAUUGAAAGAAAAAGAGUGGUCUAAUUCUUUGAGUGAAAAUUGAGGUUCUCUUAAGAAUUAGAGAAUUAUUAUUCUCUCGGGUGUAAUUCGGAUUUGGGAUGUGAGGAUUCAAUGCUCGUAUACACUUGUGGUUAUUUUUCUCCCUAUGUUGAAGAUCUACAACAAUUUUGUGGACGUAGCUGGUUUUGGGUGAACCAUGUAAAUUUCGUGUGUUGUUUUGUUUGCUCUAUUUUAUUAUUAUUUCCACAUUUUUUUAUUUGCUUCAUUAAUUUGGUCUAUUGGGAGGUUUACUUCCUAAUAUUUUUCAAGUCAAAUUCUUAUCUAAAAUUGAAAUAAGAAUUGGUUUCAUCCUCAAUUGAAAUCGAUUCUUGGAACACUUCACCAUUCCCUUUCCACAUUUCCCACCAUCCAACCCGGCCAAUAAAUACAAUUACUUGGCUCCAUUGCAUAUUUUUGCUUAUCUUUCAUUCACAUUCAAAAAUGGUUAGAAAGGAACCUUGAUUUUAGGAAGUUCCCAAUUAUUAGGAUUUGAUUUAGUUUUCUAAUAGUCAAUUAGAAUAUUUACAAAUUUGAGUGGUUGAUUUAAUUAUAUGUUUAUACAUAAUUCCUACAAGUUAUUUUUUUUUUAAUACUUUUUGUUAUUAGGAAUCUCUAUUUUUUAGGUAAAGGUGUCCAUAAAAAAAAAAAAAAAAGGAGUUAGUGCGAUAGUUGAACAAGAGUGGUGGAAAAUAAUGUCAUUUUCUUGAUUUUUCUCAAUUACUUACCUUCUUACCUUGACUUUCCAUCAUGACUUAUUUCUCUCUAUGGAUUUGUUUAUGUGUUAUCAACUCUAUUACUUGAAUAAAUUGGGUUGUAAGAAAAAGAUGACAAGUAGGACAGAUUUGUUACAAGUUCUUUAGCUCAAUAAAAAAACUUACAAUAAUUGGAGUAUGAAGGUAAAGACUUUACUUGAUUCACAAGAUGUAUGCAAAGGUUGAAGAGGAAGGCUAUAAACAAGGAGUCAUGACAUAAAACCACUAUUUUAAAAGCAAAGUAAUUUUUUGAAAGGUAUAAGGAAAAAAGAAAAAAAAAAAGGAAGAAGAAAGCUCUUACCCUUAUCUAUCAAGCAAUGAAUAAAGGCAUAUUUGGAAAUUUUCCAAAUGCAACCAUGCACUACCAAGAAAGCAUGGAAGAUAUUAGAAAAUGCAUAUAAAGAAAUUGACUAAUUAAGAAAAGUUUGCCUUUGUACUGGGUAUUGUGUAGAGAAAUCAAGUCUUCUUUAAUUGAGGUGAGUCUUUUGCAAAAUAUUUCGAGUUUGCUCUCUUUCCAUUUGUUGAUUCAUGUUUUUUUUUUUUUUGGUAAUCAACUAGGCAAGAAUUUCUUACUUGUCAUGCCACAAUGGUGAACAUGCUUGCAUGAAUAGUAUUCUCUCUACUCUUUCUUUUUUAUUCUUUCUUUAUUAUAUUGAUGGAUAUACUUAGAAGUGAAUAGUUAAUUGGGUUUUUUAUUAAAAGAAAUCAAAUAUUGGUAAUGCUAUUUAGUAUCAUGCUUGUAAUAAUCAAUUAUUGAUUGUAAAGAUACUUAGCUUAAACAAUUAUUAUAUUGAAUUCAAUUUAGUACUAUGGCUAAUACCAAAAGAAUAAUAUUUAGUCUUGGUUAACCAUUAUUCACUAUUCUAGAGACAAAUGCUCACAAGUUUUGCAUCUUUGAAGGAUACGGGAAAAGUUGACUCAACUGCAUCACCAACUUACAAGCUCAAGCUUAUAUACAACCUUCAUUUAUCAGGUUUAUAAUUCGUAUCUUUUUUUUUUCAUCCCUUUAUUGUUUAUAAUUUUUGAAUUGAUUUAUUAAAAGGAAUUUCAACUUUAUUUGCAAUAAUGAUUUUUUUAUUCUCAUGUGCAAUAGAAUAAUAAGUUGUAUAAGAAGCAUAUACUACUUAAUUGGUAUAACCCUUUAGUCAAUUCUCUUCUCAAAUCCUUUUUAUUUUUCUCCAUUUUUGUUCAAGGUAAUCAAAGCAUCAUUCUUUCUAUUUCUAAAGGUACUUGAACCCAAUUUGAAAAACUUUAAGACAUGUUAAAGUGGAGGACCACUCGCAAAAUAAGUAACAUUAGUUGGGUUACUAAUAUCAUAUCCUCGAUUGACAUCUAUGCCAUUGCAUUUUCUUCUAAAGGAUUUAUAAUGAAAAAAAAUAUCUUCUUCGUUUCCAUUUUCCUCCCUUCUUUUGACCAUAAAUUUGUGCACAUUGAAAACAUUCAUAGCCCAAUAUUUUUGCUAGCAUAUAUAUGCAUGUCACAAUCAAUUGAAUUUUUUAGCAUAAGUCUUAUAGUAUUCACAUAUGUGUAGGUUCUAUAUAUUUAUCAUGUUUACAAUAUCAAAUGAAGUAUAUGAACCUUAUCUCAAAGGUGAAGUCUCUUUACAAGGAGCUUCAACAUGUUAGUAGUUACCUAACUUAAUAAUCUAACAAUUCGUCACUAUAUAUUAUUUUGCAACUCUUUCAUAAAGUAAUUGUGUUACCUCUAUUCACAUUUUCUAUCUUUAUUUUAAAAAAAUUGAAUUGGUAAUUGUGUGUCAAAUCAUGCUUACAAUCAUUAAUAGGUACUUACAUGCUAAAUUGAUAAAGUUAUUUUACAAUUGUUUCAACAUAUUCAGAAAACAAAAACAAAAGAAAAGAUUAAUAAGUAUAUCUUUCUAGAUGUAAUCACUACCAUGCCAAUGUAAAAAAAUAUAACAAUGAGGAUUUCAAAGAUUAAAUUAAGUCUUGGAGACUCAUAUUGACAAGUUGUAAAUGGUGGGUGAAGUCUCUUUAAAAUGAGCUUCAAUAUGUUAGCGAUUACCAAACUUAAUAAUCUAACAACUUGACACUAUAUAUCAUUUUACAACUAUUUCAUAAAGUAAUUGUAUUAUCUCUAUUCACAUUUUCUAUCUUUUUUUUUUUUUAAAAAAAUUGAGUUGAAAAUUGUGUGUCAAAUCAUGUUUGCAAUCAUUAACGGGUACUUAUUUGCUAAAUUGAUAAAGUUAUUUUACAAUUGGUUCAGCAUGUUUUGAAAACAAAAACAAAAGAAAAUUAAGAAGUAUAUUUUCUAGAUAUUAUCACUACCAAGCCAAUGUGAAAAGUUAUAAUAAUGAGGAUUGCAAAGCACCAGUUAUGUUUUGGAGAUUCAUAUUGAAUGUUGUAGAUUGUGGAUGUAUGGUAUAGGAGUUAACUUGAGUUUAUCAUUCUUUCUAUUUUCGAUACCUUAAUUUUAUAUGCAUUGUCCAUCAUAUAUAUUUGUUAUCAUCUAUUCUUUACAACCAAUUUUUUAAUGACUUCUACAAUUUGUGUAUAAUGUAUAUAUUGCUUUUAUUUGUACCAAAGCAUCAUCAAGCUACAAAAGCAUCACAAGUUUUUCUAUUGGGUCAAGUAUUUUAGUAGUUUUUGUACUUAUACUUGAAACUUUUUUAUGACACUAAUGAGGACAUUUACCUUGAUUAAUUUAACAUUUAUAUUGCAAGUAUCUAAAUAAGAGUUCUAUAGAUUUAUUUAGACAUUUAUGGGCAUAUUUAUCCUCUUUCUGACAUAUUAUAAUGAUAUUUUUAACAUUGAUAUAAAUUAUUUGUUUGAAGGUUUCAACUAUUGAAAAAUAUUAUUCAAGCCCAAUGUUAAUCUUUUUCUAUAGUGGAUUUCAAAUAAUAAAUUCUUAUUUGAUUAUUUGUAGCGAAAAUAAACAACUUUUAUGUUUGAUGCGGAAAAAUAUAGAGUAGGUCACUUUCACAAUAUAUGGAUGCUACUCCUAUACUUUUAAAGAUGGUUACAAUCGCCUUUAUGAUGGAUAAUGAUUUUCUAGUUCUUUUAGUACUAUUAUAUUAUGUCCAAAUUUUAAUUUUGAUAUGGUCCAUAAUCUCAUCGUAUGUACUAUUGAUAGAUUACAAUGCAACAAACGCAAUGUGAAUCUCAAAGAUGAUUAUUACGUUGAAAAGUAAGUUCCCCAUGUUUUAUUUAAAUUUUUUUUAUUCUCUAAGGAUUGUUUUAUUCUCUUUAUUUUUAAAGGCUCAAAUCAUCUUAAGUUUAUUUUUUCUCUUAUUUCAAUAGUUGUAGCCCAUAUGUAGGAGAAAUUUCUCUAAAUGAAGGGUAAAGAAGAACAAGUGCAUUUAACUUGUUACACUUGCAAACUAGAAGACAACCUCAUAUUUCAGAACCUGCACUACAUGAUUUCAAUAAAAAUUAAGAUUGUUGAUUGAGAAAGGAAUGGUGAAUUCAAAAUUCUCUAUAAUUUCCAUUGUUGGUGCUCUUGAAGAUUUUGGUAAAAGACUGAACAAUUGAGUUUAGCAUGUCCUUGAAAUGUAUUUGUUUUAUGAAUCAAUGCAACUUGGUUAAAGUCUCUAUAUAAGUCAUAUACAACAUAUUUUCCCUUUAAUAUCAGCUCAUCAAUUUUUGUUUCCAAGCUUUUUGUCAAUUAUAUUUUUUAAUCCUUUCUAUUGUUUUUUGGUCUUCCAAUGACUUUGUUUCUAUUUUCAAUACUUGAAUCCAAUGUAAGAUGUUUGCAUUUUAAUUUUAUAAUUUUCUUUAUUAUUUUGCUUUUUGUUUUUUUAUGGUGUUUCCUUUGUAAUCACUUACUAGAUUCAUACUUCUAAGAAAACAUGUUGAUGAUGAUGAAAACAUGUUUCUAUAGAAAUAUAUAUAUUAUGAAGACUUCUUAUGCUUCUAUUAACCUAAAAUGAUGAUAUUGAUAAGAAGUGUAUUUAUUAUCAUAUUGCAUUACAAGUUUACUGGUGGAUCACUCUUAACAAGUACAUCUUAGCUAAAAGUUAAAAAAAUGUUUCUCUUUGCACAUACCUUUACUAUUGUUUCAAUUGCUAUCUUAAUAUGUUAUGGAAAAACUACUACAAAUAACAAUAAUAGGGAGAAAAAAACAAAAAAACAAAAAUAGAAAACUUAUAAAGUAGGACGAUUUAUGUGGUUUGGCCUAAAACCUACAUUUAUCCAUGAAAAUGAAGAAGAAUUUCCACUAUUAUUAAAGGAUAUUGCAUCCUAAAGCUCUCAAAUCCCAUAAUUACACUAAAAAAGGACUUUUUUUUUAAUCAAAAUCUCUUCCUUUAUUUUCUUGAUUAUAUAAGAACAUUCCAUAGAGAAUUAAUUAUGUAAUUAUCAAAGAUAACUAUUCCUAAAAAAAAAAUCUUAUAAUAUGAUAUUUUCUUUAUAAUAUAAAAAAAAAUCUUUUAUAUAAAUAUAUCAUAAUAGGAAAAUAUUAAAGACUUAUAAAUUGACUUGAAAAACAAUUUGAAAUAUUUUUCAACAAUCUCCACAUUAGCUCAAAUUCCCAAGAUUCAAAUAAACUCAAAAGUCUUCCAUGUUACUUUGCUCUUAUACACCCUUAAGGGGACUUCAAGUAAUGUCAAUACCAAUUAAGUCUAAGCAAUGCAUGAACUUAAUCAUAAAGAUAAGUUUAGUCAUCAUAUAUAUAAAAUUAUCAACUAUAGGGAUCUUUUUCAUUACAUUAGAACCUUGUUCAAUCAUAUCUCUAAUAAAAUGCAUUCUAACAUUAAUAUGUUUGGUCCUCUCAUGUAACAUAUAAUUUUUAGUCAAAAGUAUGACACUUUGGUUACCAUGAUAACAAUAAUCAAUGAUUGGAACCAAAUAAUUACAUUUUGUGUGCCUAAACUUAGACAUGCGUAUUUAAUAUCCAAUUCUAGUUUCAUCCCUUUACUCAAUUUUAUUCCUAAGUCCUUAAUUUUGUGUUUAAAAAUGCAUGUACUGGUGGUUAAUUUUUCACUCCAUAGUUGUCAUAUCAUCCAAGUAAUAGUUGCUACAUUAUUCAACAACGGGUUGCCUAUAGACCCACAUUUUUCAUAUGCAUCCCCACUCAAUGGCGUGGUUGACUUUUUAAGUGAAAAACUAUGUUUUAUAAAAACUUGGAGUUGCCACUUAUUUUUAUUUUUUUAAGGGAAAAUAAAAUAAGAAACUAAAUCUUAAAAAAAAACGACUCCUUAAACUUUUGGAAAAACUUGUCUUUUAAAAAUCCAAGUCUAGAUCCAGGGAUUAGGUUACUUAUUGGGAUGGUACCUUAAAAACGGAGCAUCCCUCUAAACCUUCAAAAGGUCUCUAUUGGCUAGGUUGAGGGAAGUGUGACAAUUAAUUGAUAGAAUUAGGGUACAAGAAAGACUAAAGUGUUUAGCUAAAUUCUAACAGCAUAUUAAGUAUGCAGAGCAAUCAUUUCAAGUCAUAAGUAUAAAAAGAGAGAUAGGGUGCGUACCUAGACUAUAACUCAAACACUAUCAUAAGACAUCAAAGUUAGUUCAGAUAUCAUAUCACUCAACACACAUUAUCAUUCACAUCAAAGAAUCAAAUAACAAUCAAAGCAACCAAUAACAACAUCAAACAUAGAGAUGUUCAUACAUGAAACAUACACAUAUGUUGAAUUAAGAGACAAAGGGUGAUGGGUGUAUUUGAAUUGCAUAAAUAAUUUACAAUGCACUUCGAUAAGAUAACAAAGGUUAGAAUAAAUUAUAAUGGAAAAUAAAGAGAUCCUAAAUCCUAGCAUGCAUGGUAUUUACAUGGCAUAAGGACAGAACAUAGGCUCACAAAGACAUCAAUAUUCCUACAAGGCAUGCAUACAACUUCUAGAUGUAUACAUAAGAUAUAAGAAACAAUGAUUAAUUAUAACAAAACAUAUAACCAACUAAUCAAAAUAUAGGCAUCACAAGUAUAAUUCUAAAAUAUUAUGUAAGCAUCACUUGACUAGAUAAUAAAUAAAAGCCAACAUCCAUAUCCAUUAAUCAUGAAUUAAACAAUAUGAGCAACUAGUAUGCAAAAAUCCAACAUAUGAAUAUAACCACACCAAAGCACAGAGGAUAUCUCCUAUACGUUUAGAACAAAUAAAAAAUUCCAAACACUCGUUCAAAUAUCAAUUUUAAUUCAAAAAGACCAAAAGUUCCAGAAGGUCCAAAAUUGAGUAGAACACUGAAUUUUUAAAAAAAUAUCUAGGCCUUCUAAAUUCAUACAAAAAAUAGAAAAUGUCAUUCAAGGUGCCUAAAUUAUAUAAAAAAUAAAUCCAAGACAAGGAAGCACUCAAAAGAAUUUUAAAACACUCCAAUUGAUUAGUUGUCCAAAAUUAGUCAUGUAUAGUAAGUGCAACUUUGAAAAAUCAUAUCUCUCUCUAAAAAAAAUAUAUUUCAAUAUUUUAUAUGUCAAAAUUCAACUUCAUGAAAUCAAUAAUUUUGGAAAAAUAUUUAUCUAAAUUAAAAAGGUAAAAAGGUAAUUUAAUUUUACAAAAUUCUAUCAGAUGUACCAAAACAAAACAUGCUGAAAGAAUAUAUCAUAACUCAACUUUGAGAAAGACUUGUUGACUCAACUAACGUUCCAAAAUCAACUUCAAGAAGUGAACAACAUCAUAAAAGUUUUGGAAAAUUUUUUAAAACACUCCAAAAUUAUCAAAACAUUUUUUUUUUCCUAAAGGGUUAGUAGCUGAGUUGAAAAAUGAGUUUUGAUAACCUUUUUCAUGUAGGUGUUCCAUCAAGUCCCCAUUCAAUAUUCAUAGGUUUAACCCAUGCAUUCCCAACCUCAAAUGAAAAGAUUCACCAAUGCCAAAAAUACUCCCAUUAGUUUGGAAGCACGAGUUCAAACUUAUGUGAAUAAAAAACAAAGUUUUGGAAGACCAAGAAAUAGAUAAUGCAACUUAGAUGAAAUGAGUUGCAUGUUUUUUAACGGAGUAAGAUCUUUGCCUUAAACCUAAAACACAUUUUUUUUCAAAGAUUUUAGAUAGUUUAAAUUCUUUUGAAAAUGAUUAUAGAAGAAGCACAAGGAUCCAACUGGUUUAAGUAAUCCCCGAACAAUCGGAAAAAAAAAAAAUGGACUUUUAGUUUUCUAACUUAAAAGGGAUUUAAAAACAUAAGAGAUAUUAACUUGGAUCCCCUUUAUAGUUGAAGGAGGCACGUGCAUGAUGGAGAAAAUCCAUUUUUGGUAAAAAGAAAUUUUGAAUUAACUCAAAAUAACAACUAAGAAAGUUUUUUUUCUAACAAAAAAGUUUCAAACUCAAGAAUUCUUCAAAGAGUAAACAAAAUAGGUGUCAGGUUAAAGAGAACCUACAAUUUAACUAGAUAUAACAUCUAAUGAAUUUUAAAACAACCAUCCACAUGAAAAUUUAACCAAACACAUAUCUAUAAUUUUUUUUGAAAAACAAUCAAUAUGGAAAAUUAAGCAAACAUAAUUCAAUACAGUUUUUUUAAAAAAAAAAUCUAAAUAACACAUGAACUUCAAUAAUUAAAAUAUCUAAUGGAUUAUUAUUAUUUUUAAAAAAAAAAACCAACAUAGAAAAUUUAACCAAGCACAUAUUUGGAAUUUUUUAAAAAGAAUAAUCAUCACUAAAAAAUUAACCAAACAUAAUUUAAUAAAUUUUUAAAUAUAAAUAACACAAGAACCUAAACAAUUAUAAUAUAUAAUGGAUUUUUAAAAAUACAACCGAUAUGGAAAUUUUAAUCGAGCACACAUUUAGAAUUUUUUAAAAGAAUAAUCAACAUGAAAAAUUAACCAAACAUAAUUCAAUAAAUUUUUAAAUCUAAAUAGCAUAAGAACUUAAUCAAUUAUAAUAUCUAAUGGAGUUUUAAAAAUAUAAUCAAUAUGGAAAAUUGAACCAUACACAUUGAAAAUUUUUUACAAGAAUAAUCAACAUGAAAAAUUAAACAAACACAAUUCAGUAAAAUUUUUAAAUCUAAACAACACAAAAAUCUAAAUAAUUAUAAUGUCUAAUCGAUUUUUAAAAAUACAACCAAGAUGGAAAUUUUAACCAAGCACAUAUUUAGAAUUUUUUAAAUAAUCAACAUGAAAAAUUAACCAAACAUAAUUCAAUAUAAUUUUUAAAUCCAAAAUAACACAUGAACCUAAACAAUUAUAAUAUCUCAUGGGUUUUUAAAAAUACAAUCAACAUGGAAAAUUUAACCAAGCACAUAUUUAGAAUUUUUUUCUAAAAAAAUAAUCAACAUGAAAAAAUUAACCAAACAUAAUUCAGUAAAAUUUUUAAAUUUAAAUAACACAAGAAUCUAAACAAUUAUAAUAUCUAAUGGAUUUUUAAAAAUACAAUCAACAUGGAAAAGUUAACCAAUCACAUAUUUAGAAUUUUAAAACUUUUUUUUUUAAAAGAAUAAUCAAUACGAAAAAUUAAACAUAUAUAACUCAAUAAAAUUUUUAAAUCUAUUAACUAACAAGAAAAAAAUUAUCUAAUCUAACAAUCCAAUGAAUUUAACAUUUAAAAAAAAAAACUAAAAUGAGAUUAUCAACUUCAAGUACCAAUGAUUCAAAAAAAUAAACAAUCAUCAAGAAGAGAUUAAACAAAUAUCUAAGAUUUAAACAAAAAAAUAAUAAAUAAAUAAAUAAACAACUUUUGAUCAUCAACACCAAGAACCAAUGAUCCACAAAAAUAAACAACCAUCAAGAUGAGAUUAAACUAACAUCUAAGAUUUAAACAAAUAAUAAUAAUAAUAAUAAUAAUAAUAAUAAUAUAUUGCUGAAUUCUGAACCGUGAUUGACUUGUUAAUGGGAUUUUAAGGAUUCGUAUGUGGCGGAGGAGUUUUGCACUUGUUUAUCACAGAAUUGCGAGGUUUUCUGUUUAUUAUCUUUGAGCAAAUCGGGGGUUAGAUUUGAGCAGAAAACAGAGGAGGGUGAUUGAGCGGGAGGCUAGUGAUGAGCAGUUCAUCCAACUUCGCAUUUUCCGUGUGAUAGUUUCAGUUCACAGAACAAUCAAGGAUUGAAGUUCUAAUGAAGCCUCUGUCACAACUCUCAGAACCCAACUUCCUUCAUCUUCGACUCUUUGAUCAGAGCUUUCACAUCUAUAGCAGAAUUCUUCAUUCCGCUGGCUAUCUGGCCUCUGAUAAUUACACUUUCAUGUUCUUGGUUCGCACCUCUGCUCAGCUAUUGGCGCAUGUGACUGGUUCGUCUACACAUGGUGCCGUUGUGAAAUAUGGAUUUGAGCAUGAGCCACAUGUUCAAAGUGGCUUGAUUUACAUGUACGCAGGAUUGGGUGGUUUGGUUGCUUGCCAUUGGAUGUCUUCAUCAAUUUGUGAGCCAGAUUUGGUGUGUCAGACUGCAAUGGUCAGUGCAUGUGCCAAGGUGGGAGAUUUUUCUUUUAAGCCGUUUGAUAAAAUGUCCCACAAGGACCCUAUUGUAUAGAAUACAAUGAUUUCGUGAUGCGCAAUGCAGGCAAUCAAAAAAGGGAAUCGAAUUUAUUCAACUUAAUGCAAAGGUCGGGUGUUAUUCUAGGAGGAUGAGUUUCUGAGAUAUUCAUUCAACUCAGAGGCUUCACGUUCUAUAACAAAAGGGAUCGGGUGAUUUAUUUGAGUCUUCGAGGAAUUCUAUCACUGAGUGUGAAAAGCCGCCCUCAACGCAUGCUGGCUCUCCUGUGUGCAGUGGUUCUGGGAGCAUGAAUGAUUAGAUAUCGUAUGUUUCAGGACGUGAAACUUGCUGCAAGGAGAGGAGUGGGGCUUCUCGAGAUGCUCUGUCAUACAACAGAGUUGGUAGUGAAGAAAUCUAAUAUGAAGUAACUGAUUGUGGCACUACAUUUAGUUUUGCUGCAGGAAACUCUUUUGGUGCAACACCUGCAAGCUGAAGUUUAAGGUGUCCUUCUUCCAUUUGCUUCAACAGAUGAAGAUUCUGAUAUAGAAAUACAUGGAUCUAGUUCUGUAAGUAUUGAUGAGAAUGAUGUGGUUGAGGUCAUGUUGCCCAGAACUUCAGGUGUCAGUCAUUGCUUAUCUACUGUAAAUUCUAGUUCUGUAAAUGGCAUUUUGACAGGGACAAUGUCAUUUUCAUUGAAGCUGCCACCAAUUGUUUUCCGGAUAAAUUUGCAGACAAUAAAAGCAUUGUUGGAUCUUUCUACAAGAAAAUUCGACUCGCUCCCAACUCCAAUUCAUAUCCUCUUGAAAGAAUGAAGUUCUCUAUGGGCACCUCAAAAGCAUCCUUCAAGACUGAGAAAUCCAGGAGUCAGUUACAAAACGCAAGACAUGUCAUGCUCAGAAAGUGCUACUGUCAUUUAUAUUUUAUUGCGUCAACGCGGGAACGAAUGGGCAAACUUCGCUUGAGGUGAGAUGCUGAGAACCAAGGUCCUCGAUCAUUCAAAGCCAAAAUGAAAUCACAUCAAAUGCCUGAACAGAUUGUUUUCUGGAAGUGGAUUACCCUGAAGAUGCUGAGCAUAGUCACGUAGACCUCAGUAUAUCAUUGAUCAAUCAAAGGUGAUUCAGAACCUGUAAAAAUGUUUGAGAGAACUAUUAAUUUGAUAAACAAUCAGAUAAUUAACUAUCGAUAUGAUCCGUCUGAAAAGUGGUUGGUUUUGAUUGGAAUUGCUCCGGGUUCACCUGAGAGACCACAGCUUGUCAAAGGGAAUAUGCAGCUUUUCUCUGUUGAACAGCAUCGAAGUCAAGCUCUUGAAACUCAGGCUGUAUCAUUCGCCACAUUUAAAGUUCCAGGGAAUGAUCAAUCCUAUGCACUUAUUGGUUUUGCCACAAUAUCCUUUAAUGCCGGACAGAUUGUCUCAAAGCUACAUGUCAUUGAACUUGGAUCCAACUCAGGGGAACCAGGAUUUAUAGGGAAACAGGCUGAUCUUUUCUUUCCCCCAGAUUUUACUGAUGAUUUUCUAGCUGCAAUGCAGAUAUCGCACAAAUAUGACUUUAUACAUGUGAUUACCAAGCUUGGAUUGUUGUUUGUUUAUGACCUGGAGACGUCUUCUACAGUAUACAGAAAUAGGAUUAGUCCAGGUCUAAUAUUUUCUUACUGCUGAAGUUACAUCUAUUGGAGGUUUUUAUACCAUCAAUAGGCGAGGGCAGGUGCCAAUUGCUACUGUAAAUGAGGCAGCAAUCAUACUUUUCGUCAGCGGCCAAUUGAACAACUUGGAGUUAGCAGUCAAUCUCACAAAAAUGGGGAGUUUCUCUGGUACAGAGAACUUGGUUGUCCAGCAUUUCCAAAAAUUGUUUGCUCAGACAAAAUAUAAGGAGACUUAAGGAAUCCCAUGGUGGAACCAUGUCAACAUAGACUAGAACUGAUGGAAAUUUAUCUUCCUCACUGUCAGAUAUCACUGCUCUUGAGGAGUCUCUUACUGCUGCUGGUGGGAAGUUCAUCUUUGUGCAAAAGCUUCGUGACUUUGUUUCUGUUACAUGUGACGUUUUGCAGCAUAAGGCUUUUCUUUUUAUUGAGGGACUUGAAGAGCAAAUGCAGAAGCUUCAUGAAGAGCGUGCAUCAGCUGUCUUAGAAAGGAGAGCUGCUGAUAAUGAUGAGAUGAUGGGAAACACAAGCAUCCAUUGAUGAUGCAAUGUCGGUUUUCACUAAAAGUGGUUCUAAAAAGGCAAUGGUUGCUGCUGCUGUUCUUCUAAGAGAACUGAACUGAGUAGCACACCAGCAUACUGUUACGGCUCAUGAGCAUCAGAAGAAUCAUAGCAGGGGAGCCAAAUAACCGGGUGGAGACUACCAGAAAUCAUGCUUAAGAUGACAUUGCUCAAUCCUAUGCCAGCGGAGCUGUUUCUAAUGUCCAAAACCAUUGUGUUAGAUGACACUAGUCCAGCCACUCUAAAGAUCAGAAAGCCUAUCGAGGGAGUUGCUUCAUCAGGAAAGGGGUAGAGGAGAUUUAAUUUCUAUUGAUGUUCUUAGUAUCAGGAACUCUUCAUCCUUGAGCGCCAAAAGUUGUAAGUCUAAAAUUUGGAAAGCCAGCUAUUUCUUCUGAACUGCAUCUGUCUCCUAGUACCAUAGGUCAGCUGACCUCAAACGUGAAAUCUAGAAAGGUUGACGCUGCUUGCACAGUGGUAGCUAGCUUCUCCUUUAUGCUGAACAAAUUUUAUUAGGAUUCACGAUCAGUUGAAGCAUCCACAAUUUUUGAUGCUGAAAUGGAAGAAACAUUUAAGGUCAUUAAACUAAGAAGUCUGAUGGCUGGUUCCUCUGCCCAUGCUGUUCCAACUUCAAUUGGUUCCAGUUUGCCACCAAGCUCAUCAAUAGACUCAUUGCCUUCAGAAAAGUCAACACCGAAUCCCCAUGCUGAGGAUUUCAAGUUCAAUCCCAAUAUAAAGGGGUUCAUUCCGCCUCAAGUGCCUCCUGUCAUAUUCAAUCCACAAACUACAUCAAUAUCCUUUUGACAUCCAGAAACCAUUUGGAAAGAUUCUCAAUGAAGAGACAUAUACCCCAAAAAUGAUCCCAAUCAAGGCACUUUCAAGCUUGGUCAAGCUUUAUGGAAGAGUUGCAGCAGAUUGAGAGGCUCAAAGCAUAGUCGUCUUAAAGCAGAGUAGUCUACUGGACACCUUCUUGAUAACCAACAGACUGCAAAGUUCCCAAUAGAAGUUAGUUCUUAAAGUAGCAUUUAUUGGGAUUAAUGUUCCUCUUGAGACCAUACAGGUGAAAGAUAUCAUCUUCAGUUUUACAAGGUGGAAUAAUGCUCAGUGGGCAUAAGAAAUGAAUGAUUCCAGUGAUGAAACCAUGAUCUUCAAUAGUGGUUCUGCUCCACCAGCCUAAAGUGAAUUUCGCCAAGCCCAGAUGGAGAUCCACUUGGUAUAAUAACUGGUUUCAGGCAGAUAGUAGUGACGGCUCAUGAUUGGGAUGAUAUAUGUGCCUUCUUCUCUUGGAUUUUGGGGUUCUGGAAAGCCAAGAAAACUGCAACUGUGGAAGACCGUAUCCUUGAAAGAUCAUUCUGGUGUUAUUGGUGAGAGCAUUAGCUUUUCAGACGAGGUAAUUGGUGUACUACAGCACUUGCUCGCUGUGCACAUAACAGAUGACAUUGAGAACCUGUGCUGGGAUUUCUUGAGUAAUAGAAUGCGGUUGUUUCUGGUACUCUCCUUGCUUCAAACUGGAAUUGGGGAAUAUUGCCUAAAAACAACAAUGUCCCUGGAAUAGGUCCAAUCUCUCCUGACUAUGCAUCCAGUGAUAAUGAAUAUCUUACUUUUGCAGAAGGCCUAAUUUCCAGUUUACUAGAAGCUGGGCAAGUUGCUAAAAUCUCAAGGAUAUUGUCAUCUUUCUUGAACAUAUAUUUACAAGCUUACCAGAAAGCAUUUCUCUCUACAAUUAACAAUGGCCAGCACCAUGGUGAUAGGUUUUCACCUUUAUUGCUUCUCAAACAUACUGGUGUUGACAAAGGCAUACAGGAUGGGUUUCUUGAGAAGAGUGGAAUAAAUCCUUGUCAUCUGGAGUCUGUUUAUGGUCUCUUAUCAAAGUUAGAUCAAAUGGUUAAGAAAAGAGCUUCUGGAUUCCUAUCGAAGGUCUUUUGGGAAUGUAUAUUGCAUGGUUUCCCCUCUCAUCUUCAAGCUCCCAGUGGAACUCUUCUUUCAUGCAUUCUAAGUAUAAGAGGGAUCAUUUGCAUUCUAGAUGAGCUACUGAAAAUCAAGUGAGCGCUUCUUUGGCUACAUAUUUCCCCUUGAUUGGCGAAAAUCAUCUACUGAGGCUACGGUUUCUCUCAAAGAAAAUGAGCUUGCUGGGAAUUUACUUAGGGAAGUUAUUCUUAAAAACAUCAGCUAGAUCCAGAAGUUUUAAAUCUUCUCAUACCAAGGCGAUCUGCAAUGGCAGUAGUCGUACAUCAUCUUCUGAUCAAAUUGGUAAUGAAAUUUGGGAGAAUGACGUUAAUAAAGUUGAGGACCUUGAAGCAGUUCAGAUAUUGCAGGACAUUUUUAGCAAAUAGCAGGGAACUACAGGCAAAAGUGUUAAAUAGGAUGCUUAAGAUUUUCUCAGGUCAUCUUAAAAGCUAUAAAUUGUGUCAACAGCUAAAGACUAGGUCACUCCCUAUCUUAAAUAUGGAUGAUUUUCUUCCAUCAUCGCAAGAGAUCAUCUUGGAAAAUCUUGGAUAUGCUCCGAUUAUUGUGAAAAGCAUUUCUGAGCAAGAAUCGCCUUCACUUUGCUGUUUGUUGCUGUAGCUAAUCACGUCUGAAUUAAAGCACACCAUUCUUUCAUUUUUUGUCAACACAAUGGUAAUCCUGAUCAGUUGGAGAGAAAAUUCAGCUACAGCAGCUUCAAGAAACACUCUGGCAGCAAGGAUGAUAUCAUAUCCUCAUCAAAGCUAAUUGAAUCCGUUUCUGGGAAGUUUCCUUUUUUUGAAAUUAAGAAUAUAGCUGCUGAUGCAUAGGGAAGAGACUCCCAGAUUUAAAAUUUGCAGUCAGGAAAGAAGCAGAGUACUCUCUGAGGAAGAAGUGGAAAAAGAUUGAAAACUUUGAUGCCCAUGAAGAAGGAACCUGAUUCCACUCUUGAAAAAAUAUUAGACAAAUCUACUGGUUAUUUGACGAUUGAAGAGUCGUAGGGUAUUAUUAGUUGCUUAUGAAUUGUUAAAACAGCAAGUUCCUGCAGUGGUCAUGCAGGCUGGUCUACAACUGUGUGCUUGCCUAAUAAAAACACAUUCUCUAGCCUUGGAGUUCCCUGAAAAUGGAGGUGUGGCUGCUCUUUUCUGUCUUCCAAGAAGCUGCUUCUUUCUUGGAUAUGACACGGUAACAUCUGCUAUCAUUCAGCAUCUCCUUGAAGAUCCGUAGACACUUCAAACAGCUAUGGAAUUGGAGAUACGACAAACUCCAAUGGGAACCUUGAAGUGUAUAUUUGUAGAUCAAAGCUUCGCGACCAUUACUGUUAGUAAUGAACUAAGCUUCAAUUUUGAUCUAUCUUCAACAAUAGGAAUUGAUUUAUCCAAAAAUUUGCUACAUAGAGAGAUACCGACAGGAUUUUCUGGGCUGUUGGGUUUGGAAUACCUGAAUUUAUCAUAUAAUUAUCUUGAUAGUCAGCUUCUUACCUUGGAAAAGACGGAGAGAUUGAUGGUACUGGACCUAUCAGACAAAUCUUUGUCAGGUCAGAUCCUAGAAAAUGUUUCCAAUCCAAGAAACGUAAAGAAUCAAGAUAUGUCAAGUGGAGGUUCAAAAUACGGAGGAUAAGGGUCAUAUUCAGAUUCCACCCUUCAAUUCGAUCAUGGUUUCUGGUUGUUCAUUGCAGUUGUUCUACUGAAAGGCACAGACGAGUAAUCAGUGAACUCGAUAAAGCAUUAUCUUCAUUUUCGAACCUGGAGUGCAAUUCUUCGAAGAGCAUUUUAUUGCCAGAUAAAAAGCAAAAAGCAUGAUAGAUGGAGGAAUGGUUCGGUGCCUAACUAGCAUUCUUGAGUGAUGCAGUUUUCAAGUUUGAUGGUCUGAACAAGAAAAAUCCCCAGCUUCAAACCGAAGAUCUGAUGAUCAGGGGAUUGCACCAUUAACUACAGAGAUUGGUGAGAAUAGUCAGAAUAGAAACAACCAACAAGGACUCAUGGAUGCAGUAGGAACAGAGCAGCGACAACGUCAAGGAAUUUUGCAAAGUGAAGGAAAUCAUUCAUUUACAGAUUCGGUCCGAUUAUGGAUGAAAAGCAACAAUUAGGAGUCUGCUUGGUGAUGGCAACGACAAGGAUACCUAUUCUAGUGGAACCAUUGAAUCAAAUCUUGGUGGCGAGAAAUUAACACAGAAUGCAGGAAAUCCGUCAAUACAAAAAACUGGGGAUUUUGAACUUUAUGUUCAGUGUUUGACCAAUAUUGGGGAGAAUCCAUUUGAGCUUACGGACCAAGUUACCUUAUAAAUCGAAAUGCUUCUGACCACUGAAUACUUUGGCAACGAAUUGGGUCCUUCUAUCCCGAAUUUUUAGACUCCACUCCAUCAUGGUUACCUUGCUACACACACCUCCUCCUCUUUUUUGGCUUCUUUGAUUAGGAAUUUACUAUUUUAAAUUGAAUUUUUUAAAUCAUUUUUCAACUAAGCAUUUCCAGCUUUGAAAAAUCCAGAUUUUAAUAAAUUUGCUGCCACUUUCCUCCAGGCAUGCAUUUUCACUAUCUUCUUUUAUUCUCAAUUAUUUUCAUGGUUUUCUCAAUUUUCAACAAGCAUGAACAAACUUCAUGAUUCCAAAUAAUGGAAUUCAUAGAAUCAAUUCAUGCAAAAUUAAUUAGAGCUAUGGUGGGGGCCCAACAUUCGUGAUAUUUUCCUCAAUAUUGUCUGUUUAAUUGUGCUUCCUCUAUGUGGAUACAUGAGAUUGUUUUACACUUAUUAUUGAGCUAAUCUUAUUUCUCAUUUUAGCGCACGGCUUGCUAUCCAGGUACGUUCCCUAAUACCCACUUUCUAAACCCUAUGAAUAUGAUUGUCGUUGCGUACUAUGCCCAUGCUUGCUAUCCUGUUUGAUUGUCUUGAUAUAUAUUUGAUGUUUGUUUGAUUAUCUUUGAUAAAAUGCAUAUUGGGUGAUAUAUUAUCUAAACUAACCAUUGAUGUUUUAUCAUAGCGCUUAAGAAGUGGUCCAGGUACGCACCCUAACUCUCCUUUAUUGUAAUUUGAUCAUGUUUGACAUGUUAUUUUUUAAAUCACCUUAGUCUAUCUAGAUAUCCUUAAUCACUCAAUUAAUUGCCACAUUUCCCCCAAUUUAGUCAGUAGAGACCUCUUUAGGGCUUAGAGGGGUGCUACCUCCUAGAGGUACCUUCGCAAUAAGUAACCUGAUCCCCAGACCUAGACUUGGGUUUUUAAAAAACACGCUUUUCCAAAAAUUAUGGAGUCAUUUUUUUAGGGUUUUAUUUCUUGUUUUAUUUUCCCUUUAAAAUAAAAAUAAAAUGAGUGGCGACUCCGAUUUUUCUUUCCAAAAAUUACUUUUUCAGAAAUAAAAAACGAGUCUCGCCGAUCGAGUGGGGACGCAUGUGAAAAAUGUGGGUCCACAGACAGGUUGGCCUUUGGCAAUUGCAGCAGACCCUCUGAACCAUCAUCAGCUAUCAGACCUAGCAGACCUCCUUGUCAUUUUGCUUACUUGGAGGUUCUUCAAGAUCACGGACCAUGCCGACUCCGUUUUGCAAUCGAUAUACUUUUUUAAGAUCAGCAAAAGCAACAAUCUAAACUCAGAAUCAGAUCACCCACAAUUGUCUAGUCACUGGAUGAGAAAACCUCCAGGUCCUUUUUGAGGAACAUGUAUUAAGGACCCUUCCACAACUUUCUUUAUCCAUUCCUUUGCCAAGUGAUAUGUUCUCUUCUAUCUUGCCACUCUGAAUUCAAGGAAAAUGAGUACCAAAUUAAACAUCAUAACCAACUUGUUCACUAUGGUGGCCUUUAAUUUGAGCUUUACAAUUUCUAGGAAACCCGUGACGGAUCAAAUUCCUAAGUUGCAUUCCUGAACGCACCAAAACUCAUGCUAAUACCUUCAUGGGCACCAAAACUAAUCAAUCUCACCACUAGCAAAACUUCUCCAAAAAAUCGGCAAAACUAUCCAUGCUUCAUCUUUCCUCUGUUCUUUCGCCCCUGUUUUUCUUCCUUCAUUCUCCAGUAAUAGAUACUUUAACCGGUGCCAAACAAUCUUCCUCCUGGAAUGGUAGUUGUACGAGAAACCCUUGAACUUGUUUUCUUAUUCCAAAUUUGGAUAUGGAGUUUUGACAGCAUCAAGAAACCAUUCUUUAGUGCCAUUGAUUAGUGAUGCAGGCAUGGCUGGAAAUACUCGAAAUAUCCACAUAAAACAAAGGAAGACUGGAAAUGGACCAAUAAAAAAUAAACAACAAAAAGGAAGAACCAAUGGAAGCCAAAUUUCAUAUUUUAUUCCAUGGGCUUAGGUUGGUGAGGGGAAUACAAGCAAAUUCCAACAAACAUAUACGACGACUAUUCUCAUGUAAUGCACAGUAAAUAAAAAAGGUAAAGUCUUUUAGCCCUAAACCAAAACUAGAGUACUCCAAAGGGAGAAAUCAACAACAUCUAGAGAAGCAAUCAAGUGCCAAUCCAAACAAACAUAUAGCCUCUAUCAUUCUACACCCAAGCAUCCAAACAAAACUCAAAAUCCCACGAAGAUCAAUACAUAACAAAAGGAUAACGAGAAUGAAGGAAGAGUCAACAAGAGGCAUUCCUGGAAAUGUUCCUCUCUAGUAAGAAAAUCCCUGUUGGUAUAUCGUCUUAGAUCUCUUACUCUGCUUUGUUGUGUUUCCUUCCUCUCCCUAUGAAGACAAUCUCAGAAUUCUCCNNNNNNNNNNNNNNNNNNNNNNNNNNNNNNNNNNNNNNNNNNNNNNNNNNNNNNNNNNNNNNNNNNNNNNNNNNNNNNNNNNNNNNNNNNNNNNNNNNNNUUUUUUUCCGGGGGGUUGGGGUGGGGGGGGGAAAAAAAAAAAAUUCCAAAAAAAAUUUUGGGGGUUUUUUUUUUUUAAAACCCCAAAAAAAAAAAAAGGAAAAUUUUUUUUCCCCAAAACAAAAAAUGGGUUUUCCCAAGGGGGAAAAUUCACAACUUUUGGGGAAGAAAAAAAGGGCCAAUCCAAAAAAAAAUUUUUCUUUUUUUUUUUUCCCCCCAAGGCUUCAAAAAAAAAUAAAAAUCCCCGGGGGUUCAUUUAUUUAAAAAAGGGUUCGGGGAAGGGGGGGGGGGCCCCCCGGGGGCCUCCCGAAAAAUUUUCCUUUUUUAAAAAAAAACCCCGGGGGGAUUUUUUUUUAAUUUUUUUUUUUUGUUUUUGGGGGUUUCCCCCCCCCCCCUAAAAAAAAAAUUUUAAAAUUUUCCCCCCCUUUAAAAACCCCCCCCCCCCCCCCCCCCCCCCCCCUUUCCCCUUUUUCUUUAUUCCUCCAAAAGCCUAAUCUAAACUCAAAGGGCAACCAAGGUCACGAUGAGGGGUCAAGUAAAUCCCCCAACUAAAGUCUCUGAGGUGGCUAAAAAAAAAGUAAAUUGUAUGAGUAGUCAUGGGCCACCAAGAGACUACUAUUAAGUAUCAAAUGAGCUUCUAAUAGGACAUGUGCUAAGAGGACAAAAUGGAGGGUCUACAAUACCUUUUUAGGAUCACAUAAAGGGACACUUUGUCUCAAUUCCAUGAGAUAUCAUGGUGCCUACAUUUAGAAUACCUAUUGUUACUGGCUUUCAUCAACAAUGACCCAAUCCAUAGGAAAUAUGUGAUCAACUUACAAUCUCACCCGUAAAUCAAAGACACUAGUAACUUUAGCAUAAACUCAACAUUCUCUCAAAGUUGAGGGACAACGCAAUGAAGUAGUUUGGUGAGGUCAUGACUACUUGAUAGCCUUAAGUCAUGACUUAUUGUAGGUCCUGUUCAAUGUGUAACCAUACACACUAAUGCACUCACCAUGGGAAACCCAUCUCGAUAGCCAAGACCAAUUAUCCCUCUAAUUAGGAGGUGGUGCACUACAACCCAUAAUAGGUUGCCUAGACCCAUGAAUCGGUUGUGAACAAGUCAUCUAUUUGUAAGAAAUCCAUGACUUGGAUCUUUCUUGCAACUCUUAAAGCACCAAGUCACGUACAAUGCAAAAUAUGCAUGCAAGAAUGCUCAUAAAAGUGUAAUGCAUGGAAUAAAUUAAAACAAAUAAAAGUGAAACUAGAAUAUCAUUAAAUAAUGAAUUCCAAAUUUGUUAUAUCAUUGUCAUGCUUUUAAGGGCUCUAUCUUAACAACAUUAAUUUAUUUUGUUCUAAGAUCAUCAAAUUUUUAUUUAACACAACCUCGUUGAUCUAUAUACAACACAACUUGACUUCUCCUUAAUUUGAUAUCAUAUUUUUUUUUUCUUUUGAAAGUAAAGGCAUCGUAUACCAUGAUCUCUUUGAUUUUCCAUUUUAUUUUUCAUCGUGGUUGCCUUUGUUUCCAUUUUGGAGGUGUUUCCAUAUGUUACAAGUGAGCAACUUAUAUUUAAGAGCAUGAAUUUUGGAAAGUGUAUGAGAGUUUUGCUUAUCUAAAGAUUCAAGUAUAUACUAACUUACUUCGAGAAACAAUUAUAAUGAUCUUAGUCAAACAAGGCAUGUAGACAAUAAGAUUUGAGCAUGAUGUACAAAGGAUCUUUCCAAAGAUAUCAAUGUCUACUUUAUGAGUUAAACUUAAGAAGUCUCCCUCUUGAUCAAGCACAAAAUGUAACUAAGGUUGAAAUUCCACUCUCCAAAGACAUUUAAUUAUCAAGAAUCAUAUCUGCAAUAGUGAUUAACAAAUAUCUAAGAAUCAAUCCACAUCAAGUCUUGUAGAUAUAGUAUAUUUCUCUAGUUCUCAAACUUGAGAUAUUAAAAAUCAUGCCAAUAUAUCAAGUAAAAAAGCAAAAAUCAUAUGCCCAAAGCAAACCAGAAGAAAACCCAAGGAAAAAAGUAGACAAUGAAACAAUUAAGCUCAAAACCUUUCAAGGCCUAUAACAUUAGAUAAUUAGUCAAUUAGGCGUAUGCCCAAGGAUUUCCUAAGGAACUCAAACCUAAGAGAAUUCAAGGGUUUUGUAAAGAUAUCUACCAAUUGAUGUUUCGUGGGGACAAACUCUAGAGAGACAACGUUUUCUUCAACAAAAUCCCUAAUGAAAUGAUGAAAAAUUUCAAUAUGUUUAGUACGAUAAUGAAGAACACGAUUCUUUGAUAUAUUUAUAGAACUAGAGUUUUAAUAGUAUAUGUUCAUGGUCCUUUACUCAAUCCUAUAGUCUUUCAGUAUUUGUUUCAUCCAUAAGAAUUGUGUACAACAACUUUCAGCAACAAUAUAUUCAACUUCAACAAUAGAUAAGGAUAUAGAUUUUUUUUUUCUUACUAAGCCAACCCACAAAACAAUCACCAAUAAAAAAGUGAGCAUCAUAUGUGUUUUUUCUAUCCUCAACAUUUUCGACCCAAUCAACAUCAAAAUAACUAACAAUCAUAAUAGAAGAAUCAUAGGGAUACCAAAAACCAUAGUCAAGAGUCUCACUAAUAUAUAAUGUAAUUCUUUUAACGGAAAUUAAGUGUGACUCUUUGGGGUUUGCUUGUUAGUUAACACAAACACCAACACAAAUGAUAUGUUAGGAUGACUCACUAUGGGGUAUAAUAAGUUUCCUAUCAUACUCCUAUAGAGCUCUUUUUCAACAUCCUUUCUAGAUGCAUCCUUAUUAAGCUUAGUGGUAGUGUUCAUAGGUGUCCUAGAGUGUUUGGUGGAUUCUAGACCAAAUUUCUUCACUAACUACCGAGCAUAUUCAGAUUGUGAAAGAAAGAUUUCAUCUUUUAGUUGUCUAAUCUACAAUCCUAAGAAGAAAGUUAGUUCACCAAUCAUACUCAUCUCAAAUUCAGUCUUCAUUUCCCUAACAAAACUAAAGUCAAGAUCACUAGAGGUGGCUCCAAAAACAAUAUCAUCAACAUAAAUUUAGAUCACUAAUAAUUCAUCCUUGUACCUAUGCGUAAACAAGGUUCUAUCAACUUCCCUUUUCUCAAACUUUUUCUCCAAAAGCUAGGUAGUAAUCAUCUCAUACCAAGCUUUAGGAGCUUGUUUUAAUCCAUAAAAGGCUUUCUUCAACCUAUAGCUAUGAUUGGGGAAUUUCGGAUCCUUGAAACCCUUAGGUUACUCUACAUAAACUUCUUUACUUAGAAUCCCAUUAAAUAAAGCACUCUUGACAUCCAUUUGAUAAAGCUUCAUUCUCAAGGAGCAUACUAUAGCCCAAGUAUCUUGAUUGAUUCUAGUUAGGUUACGGGUGGAGAUGUCUCUUCAUAAUCAAUCUCCUCUAUCUGUGAGUAUCCUUGGGCUACUAAUCUUGCUUUGUUCCUCACAAUGACCUUAUUUUCAUCUUGUUUAUUUUUUAAAAUCCAUUUUACACCUAUGACAUACUUAUCUUUAGGCCUAAGGACUAAAUACAACAUAUCAUUCCUAGUGAAUUGAUUCAACUCUUCCUAUAGUGCGGUAGUCUAAGACUCAUCUUCUAAAGCUUACUCCAUGAUAUUGGGCUUCAAUUGGGAGGUAUAGCAUAUAAGAUCCAUUUCAUUUAAUCUUUGAUUAUCUCCUAGCAACUACACGUUCAUUCACCUUACCUAUAACUUUUGAGAUACAAUAGUUCUUGGGUACUUUGGAUUUAUGCUUAUUCCCCAUUUCUUCAUAAUUGUCUUCUUGAGAUAUAUUCUCAUCCUUGUUGGGGUCAACUUCACUUUGAGGAACAUUAUUUGGGUUCUUUGAUUUCUCCUUAAAAAAACUCACAAAGAAGUAUCUUGAAAAAUCAUCCACAACAACUAGGACAAAUCUCUUACCACUUCUACUCUCAAUAUGCAUGGGACCCAUAGAUCCAUAAAAAGAAGGUCUAAAGGUCUAGUGGUCCUAAUUUCCUUAACCUUUUUGUGUGAACUUUUUUAUUGUUUACCCACCACAAAUGGGUUUAGGUUCACCACUAAGUUUAGGGAUUCCUCUAACUUUUUCACUAUUAACUAAGUGUACAAGAUCCCUAUAGUUUAUUUGACCUAGCCUUCUAUGCCAAAGUUUAGUAAGGUCUAGCUUAGCACUAGUGCACACAAGAGGUGUCUUAGAGUUAGGAUUUAUUGCAUAACAGUUGUCAACUAUCCUAUGUCCUGUGGUAAUGGCUUUUCCUUCUUUGUUGACUACCUUGCAUAAGUCUUAGCAAAAAUUCACCCUAUGAUCUUUGUCAUAGAUUUGACUAAUACUUAGGAGGUUUGCCUUGAGUUCAUCUACAUAAAGAACUCCAUCUAACUUAGGACAAGUAGGGAUAGAUAUACUUCAUUUGUCUUUCACAAGCUAAGUUUCCAUCCCCAAAGGUAAUUGUGCCACCAUUAUAGUCCUUAAAAGAUAUGAAAGAAGGACUUGUCUCUUGUCAUGUGUCUAGAGCAACCACUAUCAAAGUAUCACUCACUAGAAGACCUAACUUUAAGUGCAGUGAAGACUACUUGACAUUUAGGCUUAUUUUUUUUCAUCCAAACUUGUUUAAUCCUAGGUGGUAACUUAGAGAAGCUUUAUUGAGAUAUAGGCUUUUGAUUAGGUUUAUUCCCUUUUCCAUAAUUCAAGAUGUUAUUUUUAAGGGAAUUAAAGUCAUUCAUUAGCCUAUUUAUUUGAGAUUCAAAUCUCUCUAGGAACUUAGUGUAGCACCUAUACUGAGUGUGUCCUAUUUUCUUUCAGUGUAUAGUGAUGGGUUUAUGAGAGAUGCUACUUGGUUGGGGGUUUCAUCUUUUCCUUUAACAAACACAAUUUCUCCACUAGAAAGAGUUUCAUCUUUAUUAAUAUACUCCAAACCUCAUUUAUCACCAUGGGUUUUCAUUUAUCAAGUAUUUCAUUAAGCAUUUUAGUUCUAAGGUGAAAGAUCUCAUUCACAAAUGAAAAAGGCUUACUAUUUUUCAUCUCUUAAGUAGGAGUCUUAUUUUUCUCAAUAAGAGAAUGAUGUUCAGAUCAAGAAAUCUAUUUUUUUUUUCAAGUAUAUUAAUAUUUUUUUCUUUUAGCACAUCAAUCUUAGUUUUGUAAGCUUCAAGUAUAUGAUCAUAUCUUAAAUAAUUCUUAAUAAGUUUUUCAUGCUCAACAACAAGAUUAUUCAAAAAAGUAGCUUUUUGAUCAUUAGUGAAUUCAUUAUCACUAUCACUAUCAUGCACAAAUUCCAUAGAUGCAACAAAAGCUAAAAAGUUAUUAGGAUCAUACCUUGUAUCUUCAGAAGUUGUGGAACCACUUUCUUCAAAAUCAAUGUCACUCCAUGUAGCUUGCGUAGACUUUUUGACAUUUUUUGGGUUAGGACAAUCAGUAGCAAAGUGUCCCAAACCACCACAAUUAAAGCAUUCUACUUUCUUACCUUUGGAGGAACCUUAAUCAUUUUCUUUGGAUGAUUUCUUAAGUCUCUUUCCUUUUCUAGAUUCUUGAUUUUCGCAAAACUUUUUGUUGAAUUUCAUUACCGUUUUAAUUCUUUUAGUCAUAUAAAUCAAUUCAUUCCUAGUUAUAUUAUGUGACAUUUCAGUAUCUUUUUUCUCAUUCUCCGAAGCCUUAAAGACAAAGUCUUGAGGAUUUUGAGAAUUAGGUAAGGGCAUCUCAUAUGUCUAUAUAAAGCCAACAAGUUCACCAACUCUCAUCUAAUCAAUGUCUUUGCUUUCCUCUAUAGCAAUAACUUCAGGUUUAAAUCUCUUUGGGAGAAAACUCAAAAAAUUUUCUUACUACAUUUGAAUCUAGAAUGGGUUUUCCAAGGUUCAAAGAAGAAUUAACUAAUAAUCUCAAAUUUAGUUUUGAUUUUCAUGCAUUGUAAUAAUCUCAAAUUUAGUAGUAAGCAUUUGCAAUUUAGAAACUUUAAUAGUAGGUGUACCUUUAUGAGUGACUUGAAGGAUAUCUCAUGCUUCCUUAGCACGAGUAUGGUUUGUUAUCUUGCGAAACUCAUCUGGACAAACUCUAUUAAAGAUACUAAAUAAAGCCCUAACAUUGGCUUCACUUCCUUCAUUAUCAACUUUGUCCCAAUCUUGUUUAGGUUUUAAUUCUCCAAGUGAUCUUCCACGGACAUCAAGAAACAAUGAGGGCGUUCACCUUGCAUUUUAAGAAAAAACUUCAUCUAGGCUUUCCAAUAGGGAUGGUUACUCCCAUAGAAGCAAGGUAGACUAUUUAGAGGAGCCCUAGUUUUUUAUUGUUUCAUACUAGACUUACAAAAUCAAUAAAAAUUUCAUUUUUAUCCUAUAUAAUUAAUAAAAAUUUGAUUUUUAAUCAAUAUGAAAAAAAUCGAUUUUUAUUUGUUUGUAAUAUCAAUUGAAAAACCAAAAGUCUAUUAGGAUAACACCCAAAGGGAAGGGGGGUACUGAGUGUAUUUAAAAAUUAUUUGUAUAUUAUAACUAACUUUUUCCUUGCAAGAAGUUAGGGAUUAUUAAUUCAUUCAACAAUGGACAAUGUAAUCAAGAUAAUCAAAUAUAUGCAAUGAAGCAUAAGGAUAUUUACAUGGAAAACCCUCACACCAACUAUGGAGAUAAAAAACCACGAGGUCUAAGAUUGUUAAUCUAAAUCCACUAUAUGAGAUCAAGUUACACAAAUUUACUUGACCACUUUACCCUAAAAACUUACUCUCCAAUAUCUACAACUUAAUCCACGUCUGUGAUGCAGCAAAUCCCUAAUUGCUCCAAUGAAUACACUUCAGCCUCGCUAAAGGGAUGAAGAUCUUCAACCCCAAGAUUCAAAGCUUGAAUUCUUUGAAUGAGAGAUCAUGAAUGGUAUGACACGUUAGAAUUUCUCUUAAAGAGACUCUUUUGAAUCUCUCUAAUCUCUUACCCUAUAAGGGUUAUAGAGAGGUAUAUAUAGGCAAAUAACCCGAAGAGAUUUGAUAUGCAUAGGUUUCCAAAUCCAACUUAUGUGAAAUUCUCAAAAUUAUUCUCUAAUUUUUUGCAAGAAAUACAUGAGCGCUUGAGCACACAUAACCACCGCUUGAGUGGUGCUAAGCGCUUAAGCGGUCCCAAUGCUUGAGUGUUGCUGCCUACUCAAUUGUCCCCUAUUUCAUUCACUUUUUUUAAAAAAAAAAAAAAAUCAAUUUUUGUUGAUUUAAAAGAUAUCGUUCCUCUUUAUACCUCAUAAAAGUCUAACUUGCCACAAGUCAAACCUUUUCAGACAUACCUGUGACUUCUCAGUUGAACGAACAACAACCCUUGAUCUUCAAUGAAGAGCAAGUCACUAUUUAAUAGGACUUAUGUGUUCAAACAUUAAAAGAAAUAAAAUUGUCGACAUACAAACAAGACUCAAUGUCCUAACAACAUCUCUAUCAUUUAGAUUCCAUAUAUGUAUAUUACACCCAACAAACUUAAAAUGAUUGAAAAUUUCAUGAUAUAUCUAAUUUAAUGGCAAUAUAAAGACCACCAAAAAGAAUGAUAUUUGACAUUCUAAUCAUAAUACAUUUUUGUUAGUUCACGAUGUAAUUUUUAUUUGUUUUCAUUAAGAUUAUGUUUGAUUUUUGAAAAAUAGUAAAAAAAAAAAAAAAUGUAAUAAAAAAGAAAGAAAAUAUAAAAAAAUAAAAAAAUGAAAAAAAUAAAUUUUAAAUUUUAAAUUAAUAAAUUAUUUUUACACACUUCUUCAAACUUAACUCAUUUAGUUUUUAUCUUUUAUAUAAAAAUUAAGUAAUUUUUUUUUAAAGUUUCUAACUAAUUUUAAUUAUAUUUUAUUUUCUUUCAUAUUUCUUAUAGUAAAAUAAACAUAAAAAACAUUUUCCUUAACAAAAAUUUCCCCUUUUUCCAUAACAUUUUUCAAGGAAGAAGACCAAAAAACCAUAUAUAUAUAGCCUAAUUAUGUUUAAUCUUUUUAGAAAUAUCCCAUAAAAUAUGGAACUUUCCAAGUCAACCAAACAUUGUUUAAAAGAAUGAAUGAAAAGAAAAGUAAAAUGAAUAAAGCAUACACUAAUAAAUUUCUUUGGAUCAAUUUUCUUCUGUACUUUUAUUCUCAUCAGUUGCCAAUAUAUAUACACAGAGAAGAGAUACAUCAAGACUCCUAAAUAAGGUAAAACUAAACAAGGAAGAAAAUAUGUACAAAUUACAAACACAAUAUUUGCCUACCACGCCAAUCAAGGCUUACCAUAAUCGGCUUGCCCAUCAAAGUUUACCAUAAUCACUAAUAUAUGAAGUUGGAAUAUAAUUAAUGCGAGCACAUGAAGCUACAUUUGAUAAUAUCACAUCUCUUCAAUAACCCUUAAUUAUAAUGUCCAUAAUAAUUAUAAUUCACAUCUUAUAUUCAUGUUGCUUGAUAAUAAGAAAAUGGACACCAUAAAAAAUAGGAUAAAAUAAGUAUUGAAAGUCUUCACCUAAUGAAUAAUAAAUGUCCAUAUUUUCUAUUAGGCCACAUGGGAGUUUUCAAUGAACGAAUCAACGUCUCAGUUGUAGCCUUCACCUAACAUAUAACAUAACAUGGGCAAGUUAAUCGUAUUAUAUUAUCUUGAUAAACAUAAGUUUAUAUUUUUUUUUCUUUCUUAUCACCUCUUACUUUUUAAUAACUUUAGAAGUUCAACUUUUGUAUCAAAAUGAAAUUAUUAAAUCAACAAAACUUCAUCCAAAACUGGAAAAUUGAUAAAUUCAACAAUAAUAAAUUUUAUGAGGCACCAUAUUGACCAAAACCUAACCCAACUUUAGAUCUUUCUUCAAAUAUUCACACUUAUAAAUUUUUAUCCUCAAAGAAUUAUCGAUAACAUAUAUUUAUUUACCAUUACUUUGAUAUUUUGGUAAUCUAAUUUAUGGCCAAGCGCGAGCAUAAUUUAAAUUUAAAAUCAUUAUCAAUUCUCUCCCAAAUAUUUUCUUUUGUAGUUGAUAUUUGAACAUUUAUCAAUAUAAAGAUUAUUGUGUCGAUAAUAUUUUCACUCCCAACGAAAAUGAUGGCAUAAGAUGUAAGACUCAAGAUUCGGUAAGCUUGAGAUUUGAUAUUGGUUUUGAGAAAAUAUGUCUAAAAAAGUAAGUAUGAGAUUAUGUGUGCUUAAGAUUUGGUGUUGACUUAAAAUUUGAUGUGAUUUGAAUCACACAAAGAGGAUUAGUUUUAUCUUAUUGAAUUAACUUUCAAUAAUUUCAAGUCUUAGAUUGAGUUUUGUCCAUCUCAUCUAAAAUAUUAAUUGAUGUUUGACGUGGAUAACCUAAACUUUUUAUUACAUUCAAUUACCAUCAUUUAAGUGCUUUAUUCCUAAUAUUAAAGAGUAACAUUGUUGUACACUAACAAUCCUUCCUUUAACACUUCUAUGGAGUGAACCAUAACUAUUAACUCCAAUAUUAAUUCUUGGAUAGGGUAUUUAUCAUUUCUUCUCAAAACCAAUUAUAUUCAAUGAGAAUAAACUAAAUUUUUUAUGGCUUUCAACCACCAUCAUUUUGAUUGCCCAUCUCUAUACUUAAAGAAUGACAUUAUUGUUGCACCCUCAUGAUGAGAAAUAGUUUUAUUCACUACUUUUAACGAAUUUGUUAUUUUGAUUAAAUAUACUUCUUUUUAUUAAAAGUUUUGUAGCAUUCUUCGAACAGAUAACAAAUUAAUCGAUUUCAAUUUUAAUAAUAGUGAGCUUGUAGACUUGUUUUAUUUUCUAAUUUUUAUAUCAUCACACUUUGGUUUAUAAAUUGAUUCGUUAAUUAUAUUUAUGUAUUUGUCGCUUUCCUUUGACAUUUUAUAAAAUUAUUGUUCAUGUAAUAUGCAUGAAGAAUUUACUAAUAUUUUACUUAAAAUAUUAUAAGAAAUAAAAAGUAUUUAAACCACUUCGUUUUGAAAAAAUAAUGUAUUACCAGUGUUGUCAUUUUUAUAUUCACAAAAGUCUACUAUAAAUAUUUUUAUAAAUUCUCUCUUAUUAUUCACAAUUUUCCAUCCUUAGUGGUGUAUUAGGCAAAUAUUUUUUGUUACAAAAGUUACAAAAUAAAAUAUAGUUAUAGUGAAAAAAUUAUUAAAACAAUUAUACAUGACAUAGAAUGUAUAUUAUUAUAAUAUAUUAGCUAGUUUUAAGUUCUAAUAUUUAAUUGUGGGUGAGUGCUUAUUAAUGAAGCUUCUCCAUUUUUUCUCUUUUUAAAUGCCUUCUAAUUAACAUUUUUGGACUAUUUUGCAGAUAAUGAACAAAUUAGGUAACUUGAGUUUUAAUUAAUAUAAGUUUAUCCACUUGGUUUUCCCCUCCUUCAAUGCUUGGUCUCUGUUACAACCUUGUGAUUUGUAUUCAUGAGUAAUUAAUUGAUGGUAUCAUUUUCUAUAAAAUAUUGAAUGGUAGUUUAGGUUCAACUUUUGUAUUUAAAUUAUUUGUAUAUCUUUCUUCUAGAAGGAGUAUUCAAUCUUGUUUGGUAACUAUUUUUUAAAAAUAGUUUUUAAUAAUAGUUUUUGAAAAAAAAUAUAUGAUAUUUUGUAAGAUAAAAAUCUAUUUAAAACUUGAAAUAUUUUUAACAUGUUUUUAAUAUUUUUAAAUAUGUUUUGAAAAUAAUUUUAUGUGUAAAACUGUAUUUUUAUUUAUUAUAUAUAUUUAUAUAAUUAUUAUUUAAAGAAACUUUCAAAAAACAAGUGAAAACAAUUAAAAGAUGUUAUCUUAAAAUAUUCUAUUUUUUUCCUUAAAAAUAGAAAAUAGAAAAAAGUUUUUUUUAUUACCAUACAUGUUUUCUAGUUUUUUUUUUAAAGAAAAAAAUAAAAAAUUGCUCUUGAAAACAAUUGUGAAAUCAAAAAACAAAAAGCUUCUACACUUUUUUUUUCCCUAAAAUUUCUAUAUUUUUAUAAUAUUAGGUAAUGUUUGACUAAAAAAAUUAAGGAUAAAAAUAAAAAUAAAAAUGUAAAAAAAAGUUAUAAAAAAUUAUCUCCUAUUCUUUUGUCCAAGGAAAAACUACAAGGAAAACAAUUAAAAUUACAGAGGAAUACACUUUGGAUUCACAAAAUUUUCUCAUCCUUUUUUUUUUUUUGAAAGAAAUAUAAAAGGGAAAAAUCUUUUAGAUUAUGCUUGAUUAUUGAAAUAUAUUUUUUUUUAAAUAAUCCUUUGAUAUUUAGUUUUACUAUCGAAAAUAAGAAAAACUAAAUAAAUUAAUUAAAAAAUUUGUAUUUUCAAAUUAUUUAAUAUUUAUAUGGGAAUUAUUAACAUAAUUUUUUUAAAACAAAUUAUUUUUUAUUUUCUUCAUUAUUUCUUUCCUUUUUUUUUUUUUUUUAUGAUAUCUCAUAUGGCAUAUAUGAGAAAACUCCUAACUUUGUAUAAGUGUGGGUUCAUAUUAAUAAUAUAGAUAAACUUUAAAAUAGUGAGGAUCCCUUCAAACUCAGAAUAAAUAAUAUGUGUACUGUUGGAUAUGGAUAGUUACAUUCUCUUCUUUUUUUUUCUAUUUGCUUUAUCUUGGCUCCUCAUAAUUAGCCAAAUGUCCAUCCAAAAGACUUGGACGUAAAGGAAAAAAAGUAAAAUGAAUAAAGCAGUGGAGCAUAAAUAAUACAUUGGUUAUAAGGUUGAAUGAGAAGUGAGAACAGAUGGCACCACAUUUUAUAUUGACAACGACCGCAUUUUAUGGGAAGUAUUAUUUAAUACUUGUCCACCAAUUACAUAAUAUUAUUCAGUGCCCAUGUGACUCAGCAACGAUCUAUUUUUUCUAAGUCUCUUAGACUUUUACGUAUUAAUUUUUUAUCAUAUUCAUUGUUUUUAGAUUUAAUAAUUAUACAUUUACAACUACUUUAUAGUAAAAAUAUAAUAUUAUUUAUAAAUUAAUAAAUUAUUUAUUUAUCAAUAAAUUAAUAAUCCUACAAAAAUGAUAAAUUCUCUUGGUUCCAAGAGUAUUAUUUUACUGUAGUUGGAGAGACACCCAUUCCUUUACUGAUAUUAUUGGAAGAGAUGAAAGCAAAAAGGGUGUGAUACGGAAGUUGUUUUCAUUUAAGAAUAAAUCUUAAAGUUGUUGCCAUACUUGGUACUGGGGGCUGGUUAAGGCCACCCUUGCUCUCAAUUGGUCUACAAUGAGAGUUUAAGACCAAAAUAAUCCAUUUGUAAAAAAAAUGACAAUAAUAGUACCGAUCUCAAAAUAUUUGUCAAAAUAAUCUUUUGUAUCCACGUAAGCAUUCACAUGGAUUUUUUUUUAAGUGUAAAAAACCACCGUUGAUAACUAUGGUUUUAAAAGUUUCAAAAAUAUCUUUAAAACCACAGUUUGUAACUGUGGUUUUACAAUUUUUCUUAAAACCACAGUUAGUAACUGUGGUUUCAAAUUUAUUUUUAAUUCACCCCGUUUGAAUGGUAGUGUGAUUUUAAUAUUAUUUUUAAAAUAUUUUUUAUCAUAAUAACCAUAAAAUCACAGUUAGUAACUGUGGUUUUAGAAAUAUAAUAAAAACCACAGUUACAGAUUAUGGUUUCACACUUUACCAAAAUUUCUUAACGAUAUACCAAAUUUCCCUAAAGUUCAUUUAGGAGUAGAGAUAUUUUUUUGCAAUUUUUCAUUGUCAGUUUAAAAUUAUUUUUUUUACAAAUUAUUCUUAAUAAAUUUUUUCUUUACUAUUGUUUUAAAAUUAUAUAUAUAUAUUUUUAUCUUUAUUUUUUUUUCAUAUUUUCCUUGAAAUUUUGAGAAAAUAAUUUCUCCUACAUGCAUUCCCAUAAAAAUUUAUAUAUUUAUGGUAAAUAAAAUAUUUAUUUGUUUUAUGAAUUUUAUCACAUAUGAAUUAAAUAAAAUUAUUUUUUCAUAUUAUUUUUAAAUUUUAAAAUAAUUAAACAAAUUGUUUAUAUUAUUUAAAUUUUAUAUUUUCAAAUAAAAAAUAAUAUCAAUGAUUAUAAUUUUAGGUUAUUUAUUACUAAUUGUGGUUUAAUGGUUAUUAUGAUAAAAAAAAAUAUUUUAUCAUUAAAAUGGAGGUGGAUUAAAAAUAAUUUUGAAACCACAGUUAAUAAUUAUGGAUUUAAGGAAAAUUGUAAAACCAUAGUUACAAACUAUGGUUUUAAGCAUAUUUUUGAAACUUUUAAAAUCACAGUUACCAAUGAUAGUUUUUUACACUUAAAAAAAAAAUUCAUGUGAAUGCUUACGUGAAUAUAAAAGAUUACUUUGACAAAUAUUUUGAAAUGGGUACUAUUCCUACCAUUUUUUUUUACAAAAUGAUUAUUUUGGUUUUAAACUCCUAUGAUGAUGAAAGAGUGGUACAAUACUUGAGUCUAUGCGACACCUCAAACCCUGAGGAUAAGGGUACCGUGGUCAAAGUCAAAAUCUAAAUCAUCAAAUUUAAAGCAGCUUCUAAUGGAAGCAUUCAUCCUACACUAAUACCUCCUCAUUGAUAUCACGUGGGGAAUAAUAUAAAAGAGUUUAACUCCAUAUAUAGUAUCGAAUUAUAUCUUGGGAGAUAUCACCUUUUUUAAUAAAAAUCAAUUAGUAUGUAAGCUUAUUUAAUUCAAUUUCUUUGAAAAAAUUUACACUUUCAAUUUAACGAUAAAACAACAUAAUAGUUGUAGUAGAGUAAUUGAAAUGUUUUACAUAGAUUCACGGGCUGAUCUAAUGGAUUGAAAAAUAAACCUAUUUUUGGGUCUGAUUGAUUUUAUUUUAUUUUUAACAAUUAUGUAAUUGAGUUAUCCUUGUACCAAUUACUCAACCAAUUGGAUUGACCAUCAAUGUGAUUGACUACUUUUGAUAUAAGCGGGUCAAUGCAUCAUCAUCAUGUGGGUUAGGAGUAGUGUUAAAGCCGAAAGUCGUGAAUAAUUGAGUCUAUUACCAUUGAGUUAAUACCUUUAAAAAUACUUUUAGAAUUGGAUCAGUUUUUAAAUCGAAAAAUUUAAUAGUACAUGGUUUAUUGAUUGGACUAAUGGUUAAAUCGUGAUCAAAUAAUUAUAUUAUAAACUAUGCAUCAAUUUUGAUAAACCUUACAAAUGGCUUAGUAGUAGUGUUCCCAUUACUCACAGAUUAGCUAGACAUGUGCACAAAUCUGGCCCUUACAAAAGGGAUUGUGUUUCUUUUUUUUUUUUCACCUUGGUUCAAACUUAGAUAGAUUUAACUUUAAACUGACAAUUUUGAAGUAGAAUUUUUCAAUACUUCUGAAAUAUGAAAACGAACAAUUUUGAUUUUUUUUUUUUUAAUUUUAAAGGGAUAUUUGCAUAAGUAUUCAUAAUUUUUGCAUACAAUUGUGAAGCGUGACACUUUCAAAUUUAAAUAAGUAUUUUUCUUUACAUUUCAAUUUUUUUUUUAAUUAGCUAUUCAUUGACUUUUUAACAAGCUUAAGAGCAAAAUGUUUGAGUUUUGAAUGUAUAAAACAUGUCAAAGAUUAAAGGAGAAGAAAGAAAGUAUUUAAAUCUAAAAUUUAUUUCAAUAUACGUUAUUAAUAGUAAAAUAUCAUAUUUUACUCUUUAAUAAAUUAAAAAAAUCUAAAAACUUAUAUUUUAAAGUUUUUAAGAAUUUUUAUAACUAAUUAUAACUUUAAUAAUAUGUAAAAUUUACAUUUAAUUUUAUAUUGAUAUCAUGAAUUUAUAUUGGUCUCACAAUUAGAUAGUGAUUGAAUCAUGGAUCCAACUAGUCCAAUAACUUUUCGGAUACACUAACCCAUUCGAUUAUAAAAACAUAAUAAUAACUAUAAAAUUUUAUAUAUAUUAUCACAUUUACAAGUAAAAAAUCAUGCACGAUUUCAGACUUGAUUCUUUUAUACAUUUGAGUGAUAUUAGAGGUUGAAUUUUUUAUCUUAAUAUAUAUUAAUGCCUAUCAUGAAUACACAUUUGAGUGAUAUUGGUGGUUGAAUUUUUUAUCUUAAUAUAUAUCGAUGCCUAUCAUAAAUAAAAAGUAUGAAGACAUAAUACAACUGUAUUUGAGUUGUAGAAAGCAUGGUGUUUCCCACGUCCCUACCUAUGGAAUUAUAAAAUUCACACCAAGAAUGCAUCAUCAAAUGACCACAUCCACUGCAUGUGACCCCCAUGUGAUAUGUCACUACACUCUUUCCCAACUCUUCCAACUUCUUCAUCUAUAUUUUAAUCGACAAGUUUAAAUUUCUUUAAAAUGUUGACAUAGAAUUGAGAAUAAUGCUAAUCACAAUUUUCACACAAUUAAAAGUUUUGUACUUUUUUUUUAUUUAAGGAAUAAUCAUUUUUUUUCCUUAUAUAUAUAGCCUUACUCUAUGAAUGGCCCUUUCUCCUCUUGGCCAAAGGAAAUCCAAAUUAGCUUGAAUUUUGAUAUAAAUGAAGUUGUUCAAUUUGCCUAAUUUUUUUUAUUUUUUUAUUUUACUUUUUAUUGUAAUUUUCUAUUGCUUUUAUAAAGGUUGAGUUUUAUUUUGGAAACUUUUCACAAAAAUACAAGGAAAAAAUAGGGAGAAAAAUAAAAUAUAAAAAAGUUAAAAAAAAAAAAAGAGAGUAGAAAAUAGAUGUAAAAUUAAUAAAUUAUUUUUUCAAAUUUAUUUCAUUUAUAUUUUUUUAUUUAUAUAAAGAUUAAAUAAUUUAAAAUAUAUAGUUAUUUUAAUUAAUUUUAAUAAUUUUGAUUAUAAACCAAAUAUCAUAAAAUUAUUUUUCUUAAUUUUUUUCUUUUCUAUAUAUCUUCCAUAUUCUUUUCUUAAUAAUGCUGUAUCCAUAAUAAUAAUACUUCUGGAUGCUGAGGAAACCCAACCAUAUUUUAUAUCAUGUCACAUGGGGCUUGGAAUAGUUCUAGGUAGACGAGUUAACAAUUGAUUUGAAAUCUUCAACCACUAAUUUAAAUUCUUCACCUAAUCAAUAAUAAAUGUCCAUAUCUUUCUACCAGGCCACAUGCAUGGGACUUCGAAUGGUUUAAAGUGAACAUGUUCCCUGAUUAAUUUGGAGCUUUCACAUAAUAUAUAAUAUUUUUUUUAUUUACAUAAAAUUAAAUAAUUAAAAAAUAUAUAAUUAUUUUAAUUAUUUUGAUUUGAUUUUCUAUUAUAAAUCAAAUACCAGAAAAUAAUUUUUCUUAGCUUUUUUUUUUUUUCUAUAUAUCUUCCAUAUGUGUUUGUUCUUUUUUAGAAAUAUCCCAUAAAAUAUGGACCUUUUCUAAUCAACCAAACACCCAGGAGGAACAAAAAAGAAAAGAAAGAGAGAGAGAGAACUUAGAGAAAAAUAAAAUGAAAAAACCGCUAAAGAUAGUAUACGUUUUAUAUAAAGUUGGAAUAUAAAUAAAUGGACCCACACCCCUUCAACAACCCUUAAUCAUGUUGUAUCCAUAAUAAUAAUUCACAUAUUUUAAUAGAUUUGAAAUCUUCACCCAUUAAUUUAAGUUCUUCAUCUAAUGAAUAAUAAAUGUCCAUAUUUUUCUACGAGGCCACAUAGGACUUUGAAUAGUUUAAAGUGAACAUGUUACCUCAUUAAUUUGGAGACUUUACAUACUCUAUAAUACUAUAAAAUGUUGGAUAGAUCACUAACCUCAUUUAAAUAAUAAAAUCUUCUAAUUCUUUUUUUUUUUUUUCUGAUUUUUACAUGAUUGUGCUUUAUUUUAUAAAUUAAUUAAUAAUUAUAUUUAUUUAUCUUGGCUUCCCGUACAUAUUUUAUGAAAAUAUUAUCCAUGUAUGUAAUACACAAGAUGAAUGCACCCUUACAACUAAAUUCAUCUUUUAAAUUUAAAAAAAAAAAACUAAAAAUUAAUAUUAUUUUACUUAAUAUUUAAGUAAUAAAAAUAACAUAACCAAUUUAAUUUUUGGUUUUUCAUUUUUUUUAAAUUAGUCUUAUAUUUCACAACUUUUCAUCCUUAAUGUGCUACAAAUCUUUUUACCACUAUAAGGGUUAUGAAAUAAAAAUUAUGUGUAUGGAAUAAAUAAGAAAAAGAAAAUUAAAUUGUCUUAUUAUUUUGCAAUGUAGUUUCAUUCCCAAAAUUUCCUCAAAUCUUUUUGGUUAUAUUUGAUUAUUGGAAAAUGAAAAUAAAAAAUAGAAAAAAAAAUAUUAUUCUCUAAUGUUUGGUUUUUACAUUGAAGAUAUCGGAUAUAAUUAAAAUUAGUUAAAAUUUUUUAUAUUUUUAAAUUAUUUAUUUUUUAUGUUGAAAAAUUAAAAUGAAUAAAAUGAGUUUAAAGAACAUACAAAAUAAUUUAUUAAAUUUAAAACUAUCUUUAAUUUUUAUUCAUUUUUUUUUCACAUUUUCUAUUAAACUUAGGAGAACCAAACAUAUUCUUAGUAUUUUUUUUUUUUUUUUUUGUUAAUGUUGUUUUCCCUUGUCUUUUUCCAUAGUAUUUAAAAAUAAUAAAUUUGUUUCCAUUUCUUUUAGGUUAUAUUUGGUUUUUGAAAAAUUUGAGGGAAAAAAAUAAAGAAAAAUUAAAAAUAAAUUUAAAAUUAAUAAAUUAUUUUUAUAUGUUUCUUUAAAUUUAUUUCACUUAAUUUUCUCAAUUAUAUAUAGAUUAAAUAAUUUUAAAAUAUAUUUUUAAUUAUAUUUAAUUUUAAAAAAAUUUAUAGUGAAACCAAUGAGAAAACCUUUUUUAUUUAUUUAUUUAUUUUUCCUAAUAACCAAACCUAACCUUAGGAUUUUUCCAAAUUUCGGAUCCAAAAGUAACUGAAUGUUACGAAAAAAUAUAAAUUGAAUGAAGUACAGGAGCAUAAAUGGUACAUCAAUUUUAUAUUGACUACCUUCUGUACCUUUAAUUGCAGCGUGUUGACUUGUCCACCGAAUCCAUAAUAUCAGCCAGUACCCAUGUGACUUGGCCCAUCUCAUCCACCCCUAUAAAGAUAUCUCUUACUUUGUUCCCUAUUCUCUCACAAUUCCCUCAGCUUCUCAUCUUGUACGUGCUGUAUUUUCUUGGCUUUCUGCUACUUUGAGUUGUUCCAAAAUGGCUGACCAAAUUCCAUUCGGUGUUGUGGAGCACAUUUUGACCAAGUUGGGGUCCAAGGCGUUUCAAGAAAUUGGAUCCAUGUAUGGUGUUCCAAAGGAGCUAACCAAGCUCAAGGACAACCUCGACGUCAUCAAAGGUGUACUUCUGGAUGCUGAGGAACAGCAGCAGCAGAAAACUCGUGGAAUAGAAGCUUGGGUCCAGAUGCUCAAAGGCGCCGUGUAUGACGCAGAUGACUUGCUGGAUGACUAUGCAACCCAUUAUCUACAGCGAGGAGGAUUCGCAAGGCAGGUCAGUGACUUCUUCUCAUCUGAAAAUCAAGUUGCUUUUCGCUUUAAGAUGAGUCAUAGACUCAACGAUAUCAAUGAAAGGCUAGACGCUAUCGAAAAAAAAAUCCCCAUGUUGAAUCUGACUCGACGGGAGGCAAUACGCAUAGGAGUAGAGAAUAGUUGGAGAGAAACCCACUCAUUCUCGUUGCCAUCUGAAAUUGUAGGAAGAGAAGAAAACAAAGAGGAGAUAAUAAGGAAGCUGUCAUCUAACAAUGAAGAAAUUCUUUCCGUUGUUGCCAUUGUUGGCUUUGGGGGAUUGGGUAAGACCACCCUCACUCAAUUGGUAUACAAUGACGAAAGAGUAGAACAUUUUGAGCGUAAGACAUGGGUUUGCAUUUCUGAUGAUUCUGGUGAUGGUCUUGACGUCAAACUGUGGGUCAAAAAGAUUUUAAAAUCUAUGGGAGUUCAGGGUGUGGAGAGUCUGACCUUGGAUGGUUUGAAAGACAAGCUUCACGAAAAAAUAAGUCAAAAGAAGUACUUGUUAGUACUUGAUGAUGUUUGGAACGAAAAUCCUGGAAAAUGGUAUGAAGUGAAAAAAUUGUUGAUGGUUGGUGCU